AUGGCUCUUUUGCUACUGUAGAAGUAAAUUUUCAGCUUCAUACUUCUGUACGGCACAAAAGAAGGCAGAGGUGAAUAAUCAAACCUUGCAGUCGAGAGAAAGCCAAGCAGCACAGGAUGAUCCAGGAGUUCUCAAAAGUUACAAGUAAAGCUUCUGCAAUCGUUCAGCCCUUACCCUGCGAGAGAGAAAGGUAUGCAGUUAAACAUCGUUGGUUUCAGAGAAAACACGGUUGAUAAACUUGGAUAAACUCCAAGGUCACCGAUCGAUGAAUUAACUUACAGAUUUCCCCAUAACAAGUAAUUCGCAUCGCCAAUUACUUUAGGCUUCCAUUCAGUACUAUUUGACCUACUGUAAGUAUCCAAGGAUGCCAGGUAAGAUACUUCUUACAUUUGAUUCAUCAAAGCCUCGAAACUAUUGACUAACUCUCCACGAAACAUUAAAAACUUAGGGAAUGAUAACCACACACCCUUAUUCUUCCCCUACAUUCCCCCUUCUAAUUAUGUCCAUUGUUUCUGUUUAAUUAAUUCAAUCCGUAGGCCAGAAACAAAAAGAGGCAUGUAGGAAGAUAAAAAUGGUAUAGCAAUUCCCAAAACUUAUAGCAGUUUUUCCCCUAUUGCUUUUUGGAAGUAAUUCCUAUUUCUAAAUUUCUGUACCUUGUGAGGAGGAGUUCCUGGUCUUAACAUGUUGUUUAUCCCAAGCUUCCCCUUCUUCUCAGAGGCUUUCAAAAUCUGGAAGGAACAUGUCAAUGUAUCAUCUACACUCAUCAUGGCACCAGCAUUAUCAAACUCCCCACAGUAAUUUGGAGCUGAAAAUAUGGUUACCAGCUUCCUUUUUCCAAAAAACUCAUAUCCAUCUUCCACAACCUGAUAAAUGAAACCCAAGAAAUUUAAUAAGAAACGGACAAACAUUGAGAGACUCUACUAAUAAAAUUCAGUUUGCAUCUCAGACCAGGCAAAACAUGUUCACAACUAAUCAUAUAAAGAAUUUCACUCCAGCAUCAAUUGAAAGAGAGUAUCCAAUCAAUUAAAUGAGUACGUGACGGAACAGGUGAAAUACAAGAAGUCCUCCUGUGAAUAAAUUUUUCAAUUGUGUAGCUAUUUAUUGAAAAGUUUACCUGCGCCCAGAAUCUCAACACGGCACAUGGCAUACUAGCAUUCGAUACCAAUACAUCAUUAGGGUAACAACCCAAUGGACAUGCCACAAUGACAAAGUAGAUGAUGGGUAGUGGAAUGAAUAUGAAAAGGAGUGGAAAUCAACCCAUAAAAACAGAUAAAUCAUGCAAACACACACAGAAUCUCUAAUUAUAACUUACUCCGUGUGCUUUUACAUGUUUACCAAAUUCGAAAGAUGAAAUUUUAAAUAAAGUUACUUCAAAAUUAUCAUCCAUAUUACUGUCAUGACAAGUUUAACUGUACAAUAAAAGUGAUUAUUUGAAGAUGCAUCACAUGAUGCCAAAUAUUUAAGUUCCCAGACUUUGUGUAUGCAUGAGCAUGCAGGUCCAGUUCAGUAUAAAAAACAAAAAACAAAAAGAGAGAAAAUAACUUCAUAGCACCUGAUGAGCGCGGCAAAUAAGAUCUAGGUCAUGUUUCUGGAGAAAUUCAGCAACCUUGUCAGCACCAAAUGUAUAUGACACGCCACGAUCAUUCUCUCCCCAACCUUCAACAUCUUUAUCAGGAUCAGCCCAUAAUAGAUCACAGAGAAGGCCCUGAUCUGGCACAUCCACUGGCCGUGCAAUAUUCCUAAUCUGAUCUAAGUGUUUCAAAUCAGGAGAUAGACCGCCAUGCAUGCAAAGGAUUUUCUCAUCAAUAAGAGCAGCAACAGGAAGACAGUUGAAGCAGUCAGUAAAUGUCUUCCAAAUACGAACAUUAAAUCUUCUCUUGCACUCAUCAUAGAAUCCAUAGAUGCGGUUGAUGGAAGCGCAUUCAUGGUUGCCUCUGAGGAGAAAGAAGUUCUCCUUGUAUUUGAUCUUGUAUGCAAGGAGAAGGCAUAUUGUCUCUAUGCUCUGCUUACCACGAUCAACAUAGUCUCCUAGGAAUAAAUAAUUGGCUUCCGGUGGGUACCCACCAUACUCAAACAGUCGCAAAAGAUCUGAAAACUGACCGUGAACAUCUCCUGUGAAACAAAGAGGGAAGAUGAGCGUUGUCAUCUUAGUAAUCAACAGAAAUUUCACAUGUUUUUAAUUCAGGAAACCAUUAUAAAAAAUUAAAAAAAUUAAAAUAAAAAUAAAAAACCUAACAUACAUCUACAUUAUAGACUCAAUUCAAAAUUGGUCUUUGAUAUUUAUUUAAAACAAGAUCCUUUUACCAUGAUCAACAGAAACGGAUUUGCUUCCAUUUCAUAAAGACAAGAGUGAAGAUGAGAAUGCAAACCAAAUAAGGGUUGGUGGUCAUGAGUAUAAAAUUACUUAACAACUGGAAUUCCUUAACAAGUCACGGCGCUAAAUGGUGGAAAGUGAAAGGAACCUAAUAAACAAAAAAGUGGAGUCCAAAAGCUAUGCCUGCCCUCCGCAUCCAAUAAAUAGAAGCUAUAUGUGCUAUUUUGUGCGCUAUAACAAUUCGAGUGACACGUAACACUACAAGACUGGCAUACUAGAAAAACACAAGAAAAUUUAGCCGACAUUCAAGUUGUAUAUGCCAGUGUAAUAAAUGAGGAUCAAAUAUAACGGCUAAUGCAUGGUAGACAUUUACCCAGGGGGGGCAGAGACAUCAAAUUUUGACUGCUUUCAUGAGUCAAUCUCCACCUCAAAAAAGGGUACUCUCAUUCGUCACAAUGACGAACUUCAAUGGCUAUCCACCAAAUCCAACUUCAGAGAAUGCCUACUUACACAAAGCACACAUGGAACUAGAAACGCAAAAAUUAAUGCCUGUCUAAUCUAAAAGUAGAAAAAAUGCACAAUACAGCCACAUCAUAGACACUAGUCCUGGAUGACCUAAGAACUAUUCUUCAGAGUAAGAAGCCUAUUUAACGCACCAACAGGCAACCACGCCAAAACAAAAGACAAGGGACAAGCUAACGAAUUACUGAAAGGCACAUACGAAACCUUAUACUGCAAUGCUCAAAAGUUUUGUCACAUAACCCUGCCAAAGUCGCAAAAUUUUCUAAUGAAAAGCUACAUUAAAUCCUCUGACCAUCAACUUUACUUCACAAGAAAAAACCAGUAAUAAUCCAAACUGUGCUAAAUCAUACUUUCCACUGUGCAAUAUAUAUAUAUGAAAUUUCACCCAGUAACCCUUUCACUGGUAAUUGCCCCUUCUGCUCUAAUCAAAUGAACCAUAACCCGAAAAACAUAAACUCAUUUUCUUUCCAACAAAUUACACAAACCAGACAUACAAAAUUCCAAUUUCCAACCAUCAAACCCUUUUUAUAUUUGCAAAUUACCCACAUUGCUCUUUCACACAAUCAAGUCCAAAUUCAACACAUAAACAUGCCAACAAAGUCAAAGAAGCAACUUUUCAAUUCAUCCGAAGCGAAAAACCAAAACUUUCAAUCCACAAAUUAAUUAAAAACCCUAGUCCUUUACCACAAAUCUUAAUUGGAGCUUCAAGCUCCAGAAGAUUCGGCUGACUGAGAAAGAUUUCCUUGGAGGCAGAGCAAAGCUGCCUUAUUUCAGCUUCCGUCAGUUGCACCUGUUUGGUGGUCCGGCCAUUCUUCGCAGCCACAAGCUUUCGUAUAAGAUCGUCGACAAUACUCUCGUCCAUCACAGCAAGUCUUCUCUACCCACACACAAAUCGCACCCAGAAAAAAAAAAACCAAUAAAGCAAACGAACCCAGAAUACCAAAACCCUAGCUCUUGGGUGAGGUGAAAAGUGAGAGGAGAUCCGAGAGAGAGAGAAUCAGAAGAACAAGGAAGAGUGUCAAAAUCACAAGGAGAGAUUUUGGGAAAUAAUAUCUAGGGAUUUACAUGUUGGAGAAGAUGUGGUGGAGGUGUGCGUGGCGGCCAAUUUCGGCUGGUAAAAUGACGCAGAGAGGGGAGAGAGAGAGAGAGAGAGAGAGAGAGAGGAGAAUUGAAAAGUGAGUCCGAGUUGGGCUUGGGGGAGGACAUGGCGGGUAUUUUAUUAUUAUUUUACUUUUGCUUAGUUUGGUGGGUUUUUGAAAUUUCAUACAUCUAUUUUUUUUUUCUUUUUUUUUUAUUAAACGAUGUAUUUUGUUGGAUUAAAUUAGAUGUUAGAUUAGUCACUGACUAUGUUCGAACUCACACCGUCAUGCAAGAACUUAAUUGUUUUUCACUACUAUAUAAAGGCCACUAGCCAAUUUUUUUUUUUCAUACCAGUGAUAUUUGAAAAUGAUCUAAAAAUUUUUACCGUUAGAUUCUUAUUCGUUGCAUCCUUAAUUAAAACACCAAAUUUAAUUAUCUGUUUGUACCGUUGCGAGUCAUAAAGAAAUCAAAAUUCAAGAAUGUGGUGUGGUAUGAUAAAUAUUUUUAACCACUUCUAAUGUGAUGCCAUAAAUUAUAUAGAAAGAUUAUUAUCUUUAUGAAUUGUGAUUUGGUUACAAUUAUGAGACUCAAAUUCUUAAUGCCAAGUAUUUUUUGUUUCCUAUAUUUCGAUUUUUCAUCCACUCUAUGUGCAAUUUUUGUAAAUAUUUACACUAUUAAAUAUGUGAAGAAAUAUGUCACAUGGCUGGAAUUAGUAAGACGUUCGAUUUCCGAUUACGUUAUCCUCCUAUUUGAUAGACAUGCUAAUGUAAUUUCCUUUUACAAAAUGAUGCAUGCACAUUGAAUAAUAAUGACUCGUAUUUCAAAUCUUAAAAUUCCAACCAAUGUGACAACAUUUUUUUUUUUUGUUUAUAUUUCGCUUGCUCAAUGAUUGACUUUCCUUUUCCUUUUGCAUAGUUGCCGGGGAACAAUAAUAAAGUUGUAGGCUCAUGAGUUCAUUUUUAUUCUUCAUUAUCUAUUCUAAAGUUUGAGAAGAGUGUGGUUGUAGCUUAACUACAAUCUCAACCCAAUGAGUGAACAUCAUAAAGAAAAUAGAAGUAGAAAAAGAUGAAUAAGAUGAAAAUAGAGUUUUGCCGGAAUGUUGGGUGUCACACCAGAGUGAUAGUUAAGGUGAAUUUUAUUUUUCGUUAUUGUAUAAAUUAGAAACCACGUGACCUCCAAGCAGCACAUUAAAUCACUUGCAGGUGGAAAGCAUCAAUGUAAUUAGAAUUCCCCUCUAGUGCACAAUUUUAAAAACUAAAAACUCUGGGUUCCAAUAGAAUCAAUCAUGCAAGCAAGAUGCAUACAAAUCAAGGAACAAUGUUACAAGUUUCAAAAGCUUGUUACAUAAUGAUUAUGAAGGAAGUUGGAAGCAAAAGUUUAAAACCAAAGGCAUCAAUAGGAGAAAAUGAUGCAUGGAGCCCUCACCUGAAGAUGUUUGCACAAAUGUCCUUUGAUAGGAGUUUUUAUAGGAGGUGGAUUCUCUGCCCUCCUAUUUGUGUGAUUACAGUUAAACCACGCCAACAUUUUAUAUUACUAUUCCUUUUUGUCUUAUUAUCUCUAUAAAAAAAUAAUAUAAAAUGUUGACGUGACUUAACCGUAACCACACAAAACAAGAGGGCAUGGGAGGGCACUGGAAGUGGGAGGGCAGAGAAUAUGCCUUUGUUUUUAUACGUGUAUAACUGUUUUACAGAUAAAAGUAAAAUGUAAUAAUCAGCAUCAUAGCAAUGAAGUUUCAUCAUGGAAGGAUUACCAAACUACACAUUUUUCAUCCAUUUUAACUUUAGAGAAAUGGACAACAAAAAAGUAGAUAAGAUACAAAACACACUUGUGGAUGCAAAUUUUCGUUGUCUUCUCAUUUAAUGAAAAUGCACCUGCAAAAUAAUAACACCUAAGAUUAAGGCCAAAAGCCUCACGCGCCCACGAUGAAUGGAAGGGCUGUGGCCGAAGAAUCUCCAAUGCCGAAGUUAGAAUUCUGAAAAGAAUGUGUUUAGGAGUUUGUGGGUAGCAAAAUGGUUUAACAUUUUAGUGGGAGAAUAGGGCUAUUUAUAGGGGAGUGGCCGGUCCUAUUCUCCAAAUAGGGUCGGCCAUAUAUGGUGAAAUUGUGAGUAUAAUUGGAAGAUAUUAUGUGAAAUAAUAUCUUGCAAUUAACUUGGCAAUUAAUCCUAAAUUAAAUAGGAAAAUUGGGAGUUACCUUUUGAAUAAGGAUUUGAUGAGUAAUGAGAGGAAUUUAAAUAAAUAUCAUUUUGAUCACCUUUGACUGUUCCUUGAUUGAACCAUUAUUGUAUGUUGCAUGCGCGUGGGAAUCCUGGUGUGCCCCGAGAGUAAUUUUGUCCUUUUACCCAAAAACCCACGUGUCACCUCCAUAAUUUUCUUGAUUAUUUUUUGCUCCACAAAUACCCCCACACAUGUUGGGCUGCUCGCAGGAAUGGGCAGCAUGUGUAGAGAUCUUCCCUUGCUUUAAGAAACGUGAGAUUGUUUCCUAUUCUGAUGUAGAUUCACACAUUAAUUGGAAAUUAGAUCCUUCUAGGAAAGGGAACUAAUCACUUCCAAAGUCUAUUUAAGUCUACCUUAAGGAGAUGAUUAAAUCAACUUCAGAGAGAAAUUUAUUAUACCCUACAAGGGAGAGAGCUAGAGGAUAUUUGUUCUCCCUCCCCUAGCAAUCUUCUACACUUGCCCAUGCAAAGCACCAUCUUUCGUUGCUUUCUUUGUCUUCACGCCGCACCAAGGUAAUUUUUCCUUGUCUUCGUAAUUUUUUGGAGCAUCGGGGAUUGAAAUUUGGCUAGACGAGGAUUAAGGAUGUGUGAAAAGAUGACUUGGAAAGGCCACGACAUUGUUGCCAUGGGUGGCAUGAUGUGGCGACAGCUGGUUGGGCUAGGUGACGCUUGGUUUAGGCUGAGCUGAUUUGAGCGAAAUGGGCGUUGGGCUGGGCCUGGCAUGGGCCAGGCAUAUGAGCAGCAGGCUAGGCUUUAGGCCUGGUCUGCUGAGGUGGUGUCAAGGAGGCAUGGGCCUCCUGGUUUGCUGGGCUCAGGCCCGUGUGUAAAGAGAAAAUGUGAGAGGCACGGGGGUGCCAGUCCCCUUUUCCAGCUGAGUUGGGCCAAAAGGCCUUUAGGCCGAGGGAGAAUGGACCAGGUCUUGGGGCCUGGCAUGGCUUCCGGGUUCUUGCAAUCUUGGGUCCAUGGUUGGUUGGUCCUUGGGCCGUAAAGCCUGGUGCGCUUGUUUUUUUAUUUUUUAUUUUUUUGGUGCAACUGUGUAAUUAUUCUUCCUUGUAUCUUUGUAGAAUUCUUUGAGUAUGUCUUCUUCAAGCCACAAGAGUGACAAUGGUGUGUCACCGUUGUAUCGCCAAGGCAGCUCUUUGGGUAAAGUGGGCUACUUCAAGGCUGCUCACUUCAAAAUUAGCUCUAAUGACUCGUUUAGAGAUUUUUAGAGAUUUUCUUGACAAUAUAGAAGCAGCUGGCGUAACUGAUGAAAAACACAACAACAAAAAAUUGAUGGUGUUCCAAUAUUUUAGCGAAAAACACACUCUUUUUUAUAAUGAGAGAUUCAAAAGUUCAAAAUAUAUGGAAUGAGAAAGAUCACAUUAAUAGGCAUCAACGUUUAACCUAUGAUAUCUUCAUAUGAAGCUACUCAGCCUCUCCCAAUAGAAUCAAUUGAAAAUUAGCAGAUAUCUCAUAAAGUUUCUAGCAUUAACAUUUCUAAAAGUAAAUCCUGAUAAUACGUUUCAAAUCAAAUGUCCCAAGAAUACAUAUCUCCAACGUAAAAAUAUGGUAUAACAUUAAUAUAUGGUGUGAUAAUAUUUUUGCAAUUUCUCUAGCUUCUAACCAUUUCUUCCAUGCCCAGACUAAACACGUCGAAAUUGACUAUCAUUACAGUCGUGAAGUUGUCUUUGCUCAACUUAUCAAGAUUCAAGUCAAGAUCAAACAACAAACAUUCAUACAAAGUCUUUGUCCAGGCACAGAUUCUUAUAUCUUCAAUCCAAGCUUUCUCUUGGUCCCUUUGAUGGUUCCAAGUUCAGCUUGAGGGGGUGUAAAGAAGCUAAAGUAUAGUCAUCAAAGUGUUGAUAAAAGUUGGUUAGAGUUUGUUAGAGUCCUUUUGUAAAUUCUUAUUUUAGUUAAGGGUAUUAGUGUAAUCUGCUAGAAAGCCCAAGACUAUAUAUAUAACAAAUGCAAGCCUUUAAGGGAAGGGUCCCAUUUUUCAAAAAAAAUUAAGGACAACCUCUUGACCGUUAGAUUUAACUUUAAUGAAAUUCUGUGGUUGAAAUUUUGUGGCCUGUAAUUUAAUCUCAACCACAGAAUUUCAUUAAAACCAAAUUUAACGGUUAAGGGGUGUCUCCAUUUUUUUUUAAAUGAGGAUCCCUUCUCUUAAAGGGCCUGUAUAACAAAUACUAUUGUAAUUAUUCAUUGUAUUGAAAGAAAGAUGAAUGUUUAGUUUCUAUAACUGACACACCCCGACCUGGAAUGUCUGCUAGGAUUCCGAAUCGAGGUGUGCUGGCUGACACCUAGAAGGUGACGAAGCCAUAAAUUGUGAUGAUGUGGAAAAAUGUGAAUAAAUUUAAACCUAAGAGUGCCUAAAUACCAGAGUUCACUGGUGAGCGGGAAUGAACCCACUUCACAUGUGACAUUAGAGCAUAAGCAAGUACAGAAUAGUGAAUUAAGAAUCGUACCCUCGAAAUAAUCUCCAAUACUAAGAAUCGCCACGAAUCUUGGACGAUAAGAAAGCUUAACUAAUAAGACCUGGAGGGUGAAGACAAGAUAAGAGUGAGUGGCCCUGUAAAUAAAAUUAUAAUAGAACCCAUAUAAAACAUUAUAACCCCUCGCUACAACACCUGUAUAAUAUCCAGAAAAUAUCAUAAAUAUACCACGAUACGGCAUCUAGUCAGCAAUAUCAAAUAAUCAUGUGAUUAAUAACUCAUACUAGUACGCAAGUCGGAAUCACCUAUGGUGACCUGUAUGACUUACUCAUAUCUCAUCACAUAUACUAGUUCAUCAUAUAUUUCAUCACAUAUGCUAGCUUAUCACAUAUUCAUCACAUAUGCUAGCUCAUCACAUAUUCAUCACAUAUGCUACAUAUUCAUCACAUGUGAUAUGCUAGUUUAUCACAUAUUCAUCACAUAUGCUAGCUCAUCUUAUCACAUAUUCAUCACAUAUGCUAGCUCAUCACAUAUUCAUCACAUAUACUAGCUCAUCACAUAUUCUUCACAUAUGCUAGCUUAUCAAUCGGAGUCACCUCUAGUGACCUAUACAACUUAUCCAUAUCUCCUCAUAUAUCUCAUUAAUCAUUGCUAGCAUAUAAGUCGGAGUCAUCUAUAGUGACUUGUACAACAUAUUCGUAUCUCAUCGCAUAUGCAAAUGAUAUGUCAGCCGGAUCCACCUCUUGUGGCAUAUACAGCUAAGUCUAUAGCUCAUAUCUCAAUCUAGUCGGAGUCACCUCUAGUGACCUAUACGGCACUACGCCUGCAUACGAGUCGGAACCACUGUAGUGGUAUGUACGACAGGACUAGGUGUAAAUGAAUACGCUCAAGUGCUACGAUCACGUGAAGAGUCACCUACGUGUCAGAAUCACCUAUAGUGGUCUGUACGACAGACCUGUGCACUUACCUUGAAUUCAAGGUAAGCGUAUGGUGCGAGAGGUGAACAUUACGUGAAGGAUUGUGCCCUAGCCAAGGGCGGGAGCACUAACACCGAGGUGCAGGUUUAUGAGCUUUAAAUGCAUCUAAUACAACAUGUAUGACUCAUAAGCAACCUGUAUGACAAUGCCGAAGUUGUCUACUAUUGCAAUCUGUGCGACAAUGUCGAAGUUGCUUAAAAUAUAAUUGUAGUCAUACCAUAACCCCAUCAGUUCAACUUAUACCGUAUUCUUACCUAGACUUACCUGAACUUACAUGAACUUACCUGCUAUGUUCUGCUUUCCUUCUUGCACUCUAAAGCGUUCACAAUAAUUUUGUGAAAGGAAUAUACAUAUGGAUAUAUCAGGAUGUAAUUCUGAAUUUCAACCAUACCAUAAUAUUUCCAGAUAUAUAAACACAUAAACAAAUGGCUUAAAAUGCAAUAAUUGUAACGCCCCACUCUCGAACCAUUUACUUUUGAGAAUAAUUAUCAGUGAUAAGCCUAAUUAGACACUAGUUUAAUUAACUAACAUUACUUACAUUUCCUUACUUUAAUUCCUUGAUUCUUCACACAUUGAUUUAGGAACGACAAUUAACUACCAAAUCAUAAGAUUAAUUCUCACAUUUUCCACCAAUGUCCCUCACAUUGUUCAAUUCCCCAAAUAAGGCUAUUGUCCCAAUUAUUUAGUCUCAUUUAUUAUAUGGCUGCAUCUAACAUCUUUUUAAACUACCUACGUACCCUAAACAGGGAUCAAGUCUUUCUUAGUUCGCAUUAGUAUGUCAAAGCAUUCACAGUAAUCAUAGGUAAUAAUUAAUUUAUAAACAUUUAUGGAAUUAUCAAUUAUAUAUAUAUAUAUAUACACACACACACGAUAGGAAGGAAAAGACCCACUCACCUAAGGUCCGCACUACGACUCCCUAGCACACAUAUGGAGACAUCACGAACCAUCACUGCCUGUGACCAAGGCCAAUUUGGCCUGGAAAGGCUCCAAUUUCCCUCAAAUCCACCGAGAACCCUAGAAAUGGGUAUUCUUGAUUUGUCCCCAAUUCGACUCCAACGUUCCAACCAAUGAUUGGGCAUUGUUCUAGGCCUCAAGGGAAGUCUAUUGGUGGUGACAAUUGGAAGAAAUUGCUUCAGAAAUGGGAGAAUUGACACAAAACCCGUCAGUGUCACCAUCGCCAAAUGUCACGGAUUUGACCCAAUUUCCAUCGAAUCUCGAUAGAAGAAUGAAGGGGAAGAGGUAUGGUGAUGAUUACAGGUGGAAAUGGGGUGAAAUUCGCCUGAAAAACGGCUUGGAAACGCCGGAAUUCCACCGUCUUCGAAACCGUGUUGGGUGCGGGUUCAAGGGAUCCAGCCGAUCCUCUCCUUUUCUUUCUCCCUCAUUUCCCUUCUUUCCUUCUUCUAGUUGGUCACGCCCUUCCUCUCUCCUCUCCUCACUCAGCCUCUCCUUCAAUUUUCCAGAUUGGGCAGCUUUGCCCAAUCCCUUUCUAUCCUCUUUUUUCUUCCUCUCUACGCCUUCAUCUUUCUUUUUCCCAUAAUUCUAACGACAACUAAUAAAAUAAUAAUACUUAUAAUCAUAUACAUAUAAAUAUAUAUAUAUAGUAACCAAAAUAAAAGUACUUCUCGAUUUAGAGUUCCGUAGAAUUUUAACCGUAACUCCAAAUCCUCUUCUGCUUGCGCCUACGAACUCGUGUUGUCGAAUACUUCAGGGAUACGCUAAAGCAAAAUUUCAUACGCCUCACUAUACGCUGAUCAACGAAAAUCAAAACCCUAACCUCUAAGGGCACUUUCGUAAAAUCAUGCCUUUAAAAUUCAUAAAAUCGUAGAAUUAGGGACGGGCUGUCACAAUAACCCUCAUGUAGAAGAAAACGACAUGUUGUUUAUUUAUCAUUUUAGAGAAUUUAUUUGGAAGAUUGGGUGAAAAUCGAUGAAUAUACAAAUCUCAAUUGAUGAACGGAUUAAAAUUAAAGUACAAAAGACAUCGAUCAAAUGCUGACAUAUUGCUCCCUCCAACAUUGACGACAUAUCGACCGAACGCUAAAAAUGAUCAUUUCCGCAAGUUCAUCAUGUCAUCCCAUCUCAAAGGUGAGUGAAAGCCACCAAGUAAUAGAAUAAUCAACCUUUAAUUUUUCUCACUGCGGAAAUGUGAAAUAGAAUUUGAGCGCAAAAGAGGUCGGCAAAGUUCAGCCCGUGUAAAAAUUUUCCCAUGCGGCUACGAACAUUGGUGUCAAUUGCAGCACUUGCCAACAACCGCCCAAAAAGCGGGCAUGCGCAACUGAACUUAGCACUCCUCAGUUUUGGAAAAGUUCAAUGACUAUUACAAUCAUAAGCAAUCAAGAUUCUUACUCAGCAUAUCACAACUCAGAACGUUUACAUAUAAAUUAUCAUGGAAAAUUAUAACUAAUGCAGUCGGAAGCUGCAUGUUUAAAUUUACAAGCCGACCCCCCGAAUUGUCCAAUUCUUCUUUUUCCGGUCGAAGUUUGCCCAAUUCAGGGGACCUGAAUAUCACCCAAUUGACCGGAGCAUAGUCCUAAAUUAACUUCACCGGUUGACCACUGAACACAAAAUUGACCUACUACCUUAUAUACAGCAGCCUACAAGAACUCCCUGGCAGAGUACGCCUUCGACUCAAAGAUCGAUUUACUGAGGAUGACUAUUUUUUGUUUGAGGAACCUGAGUGCUCACGUUGGCAAUCAAUGACUGUUGCGCGGCAACAAGAUGUGGUGGAGCGGACAGAUUUGACGGGGGUCUUGAAGCAGCAGGAGUUGGUUGGGUUGGCUGAAUAAUGAACUGGUUGAGAGCAGCAGAGUAAGCCCGACCUGACAGGCUUCCACGCAUCCGACCUGUUGGUCGCCAAUUCUCUCCGGAUGACAAGUCUGGUGAUCCAUCAGCCCCUGAAACUGCUUGCACCGUUUCUACUACGUUUCUGCUCUGCUCCAGUGCAGCUGUCCUGAAACCUUCAGCAUUUGCUGGCAAAAUUGGCCUGUUUCUUGGAGAUUGAUUUUGAACUGGCGUCGAUGGAGACUGCCUGGCCAUCAUAGCAACUCGCUGCUGCUGACCAAUCGCGAACCUUUGUUGGUUGUCUAAAGAACUUGAUGUUUGACCAGUCUCAACUCGUACACUUCCUUGCUGAAUAUGGGCCCGCGAGACAUGUGAAGAUGAUCGAUUGGCGCUUGAAAGCUGACCUACAGUCUGGGGAGUCCGUGGAUUAAAAGCUUGCUGCAGAUGUGCAUUUUGGAACUCCAUAAGCCCAAGAGAUGUUCGGUUAACACUCUGCAGUUGACUCGGAGCUGGAAGGCCAACAACCUGUUGGGCAGAUUGGCCAUGACGAUCCCAGUUCUGCAAGAUUAAUGAAAUGCAACUCAUUAGCAUGACAAAAUGGACACCAAAAAAAUAUCAUUUAGAUUGGAAUUCCGUAAAUUAGCAACGAAAAAGUCUCUACAAUGCUUUGGCCAACAACCAAUCAAACUGAAAAGUGUUGAUUAAAAAUCAAGAAUUUGAGGAACCAAUCAAACUGAAAAGUGUUGAUUAAAAAUCAAGAAUUUGAGGUCCAGGGUUCCCAACUUCUAUUUAUACUGGUCGCCACCAGCAUAACAAAAUGGACUUCAAGAAAAGAAGGGAGCAUUAACCUGUGUUGUUUGUGAGGGCGGUUGCAUUGACGAUGGAGCAAUAAUUGACACUUGAGGCAGAUUCAUUCGGGGCCUAGAAAAGUGUUGCUGUCUUUCCACAUCACUACAUACUGCAGUGACACCAUUUGCUGUGGGUGUGAUAGACUGGCCAACCUGAGAACUAAGAGAGGCACUAGGGGGAGUAUUGAAACUAGUUCUAGAUCUUUGCUGCAAUCCUGGCGUCUGGGCAGGAAGGGCCUGAACUGCUGUUGGUGUCCUAGGUAAUACUGUGUUAGCAAAUCUCCCAUACUCAUUGCUAACAGUAGCAUUUGAACUUGCAAACUGCGGCUGUUGUAACUGCAAAUUAUUGGAGGAAAAUUGAGUAUGCAUUGCAGAUGCCACAAGAUCAGUGUUCACACGACUCUCAGUUCCUCGAUCAAGCGCAGGAGAAACGGCAUCAGUCAACACAGGCAGGUGUAAAUAAUUUGCAGGACCAGAGUGAGAGAUACCACCAUCCAUCUGGGUGUCUGACCUUAUACUCGAAGUCAACGAGCCAUUAGGUAAGUAAAUGCCAGACCAAAAGUCGUCCUCUAGAUGAGCAGGAACAGUUUGAUUAACCCUGUUUGUGUUGCAAAGAGGUUUUACAUCUUCGGUUUCGCAAGCACUCAAGGUGUCCAUCUCAGUAUCAUCCUCAGUAAGAUCCAAAACAAAAGGAAUUGCAGAUGAGACACGGGUAGAUUCUUCCUGUUCGGAAAUUUCAUUUUGAAAGGCCUUAUCAUGUGCCUGAACUAGAUCAUCAUCAUUCUCCAGUCCAGCUUUCCAUGAUCCAUCCAUAGAGAUUAUUACCUCAGCAACAUUCGCUCCUACCUCUAUCAGGACCUAGGGGAGAAAAGCAACUGAUUUUAUAAUAUUGGGUAAAAAAUAACGCAAACAGACAGGACGAAUGCAAAUAAAUAGCUACUUGCCUUAACCAUAUUUUGAUCAACGCGGAGGUCCAAAUAGCAGACAUACUGAUUACAGUGGGGACAGCGCCACGAAGGUCGUCUUAAAUUUAUAUUGACGUAAUUACUGAAGUCGAAACACUAUAGCUCAUAUAAGCAACAGAAAAUUAUAUUAGAAGUCAGUAUUGACUAUAGUUACAAGAAAAUAUAUUACCAUGUACAACUACAAUCACAGAAUAACUUCAAAUUUCAUCAACUACCCAAAAGCUUGAAACCGAAAAAAUCAACUCAGGACAUAAAGGACAACAAAUCCAAUUCCAAAUUCUCAACUUCCCCUCCAAACCUCAACAACUAACAAGAGAACAUUUUGGUGGGACAAAGCAAAAACUUUCAUCCAGCUUUUUCUAUCCUCCUUACAACCCCUAUAGCACAAACAAAGAAAAUUUUAAUUUUUGUCUUUUUUCUGCUCCCAAAGAAUGAAAAAAAAAAUCAUAAUAAUAUUUUUAAGAUAUUAAAUCUGAACCCGAACUCAUAAGAAAUAUCUCCAACGUAUAAAUUGGAAACCACGUGACCUCCAAGCAGCACAUUAAAUCACUUGCACAUAUAAUGGAGGUGGAAAGCAUCAAUGUAAUUAGAAUCCACCUCUAGUGCACAAUUUAAAAAACAAAAAACUCUGAGUCUAAUAGAAUCAAUCAUGCAAGCAAGACGCAUACAAAUCGAGGAACAAUGUUACAAGUCUCAAAAGCUAGUUACAUAAUGAUUAUGAAGGAAGUUGCAAACAAAAAUUUAAAACCAAAGGCAUCAAUGGGAGAAAAGGAUGCAUGGAGCACUCACCUGAAGAUGUUUGCACAAAUGUCCUUUGACAGGAGUUUUUAUACGUGUAUAACUGUUUUACAGAUAAAAGUAAAAUGUAAUAAUCAGCAUCAUAGCAAUGAAGUUUCAUCAUGAAAGGAUUACCAAACUACACAUUUUUCAUCCAUUUUAAUGUAGAGAAAUAGACAACAAAAAAGUAGAUAAGAUACGAAACACACUUCAAACCAUUAACAAAUUUAUUCACUGAAACCAGGACACAUGAACAAAAUGCUAUUUUGAUUGUUGAACUCAAUGCUUGACAAUAUAGAAGCAGCUGGUGUAACUGAUGAAAAACACACAAAAUAAAAUUGAUGUUGUUCCAAUAUUUCAGUGAAAAACAAAAAAUGUUUCUUCAAAAAGAGAUUCAGAAGUUCAGAAUAUAUGAGACGAGAAAGAUCACAUAAAUAGGCAUCAACAUUUAACCUAUGACAUCUUCAUAUGAAGCUACUCAGCCUCUCCUGAUCAGAAUCAAUUGAAAAUUAGCAAAUAUCCCAUAAUGUUUCUAGCAUUAACAUUUCUACUUAAAGUAAAUCCUGAUAAUACGUUUCAAAUCAAAUGUCCCAGGAAUACAUAUCUCCGAUAUAAAAGGUUACAAAUACACUAAUAAAAUUCAAAACCAAAUAUAGUAAGAAAAUUAUAGCAACAUUAAAGCUACAAGCAAUAGAUAUCAAGGCAUACCUUAUGGGACAAUUGAGAGAAAUUCUUGAUGGCCCCUCAAUUAUAUCAGGAUCUAAUGAUUAAAAGAAGACAAUUAAAAAACUAUGCCAUUGUAAAAAGCCUAAAUGCUUUGCAAAUUCCUGAUACUACAAGAUAUAAUCAAGUGUCUUUUGAUGUUUCCUAUGGAGAAUACCUGAAUCUGACGGAGACACAGUGGACUGCGAAUAAUCUUUCAGUACUGGAGUGUCAGGUGAUGGUGUGAUACUCAUAAAGGCAACCACUAUGGUAUAAUGACCUAAAAAUAGUUCAAUGUGUCAGAGCUGGAUGAAUAUAGCACAAGAAAACUACAAUAAUUAGAACGUGAUGACUUGCAUCCAAACUCACCAUUGAAUUGGCCCACAGCUUGCAGAAGAUUUGAUCCAAACUUAAGCAUUCCAGUCACAACUGAAGGUAACUGGGGUCCAGUAUCCUGUAAAGAAAAUUAAAGGCACAGGGUGUUAUGAAAUGAAUACCAUGUUACAAUCCAAAUUUUGUCAAAUUUAGUUAUCCAGUUAGCGGAACCGCACAAACCAUUGUAACAUUGAUCCUUUUAUCUACUCCCUUUCCAUUUAGCAGAAAGCUACAGAAUUGAAAGAAAAAAAAUGUUGUUAGAAUAAAUAGGAAACACUUCUAACUAAACUAAAAGGUUGAGAGGAAAAUCAGCCGUACUUCACUUGUGGUGGACUUAUAAUACAUGCAGAUGUCUCUAUAUUAUCUGUUUGUGCUACAAGUAAUCGCUUGAGGCAAACAGAAAGGGUGAGGUCAAGAAUAACUUCUAAAAAUCAUAAUUCCAAUUUCACAUAUAAAUGGAAAACAGUAUAACGUAAACAAUUAGAACAAAGAGAGAAACCGCCACGAGUAUAUAACCAAAUAAUAAAGUUAUGAUGACACGAAUUAUAUGUAUAGUUAUUCUCUAAUAAGAUAAAUAUGGACAUACUUCUUUGUUGUUAGAUAGACAUGGACGACUAGGAUGCACAGAGGAUAAGAUCUCAGCCAUCCAUAUCAAAUCUAGCAACUACUAAAGACCUAAAUUAAGGACUUGCACCCUAAAUGUUAGAUCAGAUAUGGAAGAUUAAGAUGCAUCUCACUCACUACUAUUUGAAAUGAACAAUAAGCAUCUAGAAGGAGACAUAAGCCUUCCACUGGACCAGAUAUGACCAUUCAGUCAGCCUUCAUGAAUGAUGUGUUUGCUUGUGUUAGGAUUUUGGCUCGUCAAGGUUAGUGUCCUAUUUUGUAUAGGAUUGUAUUAGGGAAAUAAAAGGUGCACCGAUUCUUCUCCAAAAGGACUAGGAAAGAAUCAAAGUUUCCUUGUACAAUUAGAUUAGGAGUCCAAGAAGCCUAAUUUGGAAAAGGAAAAAUGUGUACUUUCCUAUUCCAUAUAAAAUAGGAAACUUAAUCAGAAAAUAGGCAUGUAAACCACACCCUAUACUUAUAAGUAGGGUGCGGCAAGGCUAGGGAAUGUGUGAGAAAAGCCAAAGAGAGCUGAGAGGGAUAAAGGGCGAAUAGUUCUAGGAUUUUACAAAAGUACUAUAACUCUAUUAUUAAUCAAAGAAGUCGUGGUUUUCUACCCAGGGAAAUCACAAGUGGACGUAGGCAAAAGUUCUGACGAACCAGCAUAAAUCUUGUGUGUCUCUAGUUAUUCUCUAAUUUGCUAAGUUUAGUCUACUGCUGGAUACAUCAAAGAGCAAGAUCCAUAGGGAGUCAACAUUAUAAUAACUUGUGUAUGAUGUAUGACAUUCAUGCAUACAUGUUUAAAUAAACUACAAGACUCAAGAACUUACAACCACUCCAACAUUCAAACAAAAAUGCAUCUAACUUUAUAAGAUGCUUACAAUUUUUUCUUGAGGAGAAUAAUGUGUACUCUUCGAAAUAUGGAAAUCAAGCACAUGCGCCCCAUAUCCAGACUACAACGUGAUAAGACAUACGUCAAAACAAACCCAAAAGAAGGGAUAGGAAAAAAAGUUGAAAAAGGGAAUGAAGAGCCACCUUGACUUCUAGAGAGGCAAGUAUCUGGCCCAUCUUCAUCAUUGGAUAAUACCUACACCACACACAAAAGGAGAUCUUUCUAAAUCAUUUGCAAACUCAGCAAAAGACAUCCGUUGAUACUUGAUACCAAAAGCAUGAUUAUUAGGACAAGCAAAGAAAAAAUAUUUUGAACCUUAGAAGCUAAAGAAGUCAUUGUAAUAAAAAAAUUCUACCUAUUUCUAGUUAAACUCUAAAUUCUAAAUUCUAAAUUCUAAUAUGAACAUGGUGCAGGAUCAUUAGGCUGAGAUGAUAUCCUUUAAAAGGAAACAUCAAAUGAAAUCUAUAUUAUACGUGUGUAUACACAUGUAUGUUGUAACAACAUGAACAAAAUUAAAGCACGAUACAAGUUCCCACCUUUCCAUAAUUGUGUCUAUAACAGAAAGAGAACAGCUAGCUCCAGUUUUAACAUCCCCCAAGCUGCAGAAGCUACUCCCUAUCUAUAAUUGCACAAGAAGAUCAUCAGCAACAUCAACAUAAGACAAAUUUAAGCAAUAAUAAACAAAUUAACAGCAUACCUCGUUAGCUAGAAAAAAGAGCUCUUCAGUCUCCUUAUCCGAAAACCAUCCAGUCCUACAAGCAUUCUGCCAAGUAAAACACAAAGUCAGCUCGAAACUCAUGAUUACGUUCAAAAUUGGAUACAAAACAAAAACCAAACAAAGCUUCAAGCAAAAAGGGGAUAACAAAAACAUGAACAUGGGCAAGCAGGAUAUGCUACUUUUUUUUUGGUAAAGAAGCAGGAUAUGCUACUUGGAUAAAUGGUUAGCAUCCGUUUUCGCAUUUAUUACAUAAAAUGAACCACAUUCUGGUUUAUACCUUAACAGAAAUCAUCAGCACCAUGAUAGCAGCUUCCAAAACCUUAUCACUCUUGCGUUGGCAUAUCUACACAAAACAAGAGUUAAAUUACAAAUCUGUCACUCAAAAUAAAGGGGAAAACAAACCGAAACCAGGAAUUCACGAACUAGAAGAAGAAAACUACAGUACCUGCUUCAACAACCCAGGUAAAUCUUGAGCAAUCGCCGGAACCUCAUUGUUUGCAACGGCAUAGUCAAUGCCUCUGCAUUUUGCCAAAGCAAUUUCAUAAAAAGGAAGGAAAAUUGAGGAAUUCAAUUAGGGAUUUGAGAAAAAUGGGGGAAAGGUUUUUACCUGGAAAGGGAAAGGCAGAGAUUGAAGAACUCCAUGGCCUCGCCGCGAUAGCCAGAUUUGACGUGAGCUGCCAAGCGCUCAGCGACGGCAGCGAUUCGGUAGGAGUUAACGACGGAAGCGGAGAGUCGCUGCUGCCCAACGCCUUUCAGACUGACUAAGUUGCUGACCGCCUGCGGUGUUAGCGUUGUUCGGCUCAUUAGCUCGCACAGACACACCCACCACACCCACACCUACACGCGCCCGUCUCUCUCUUCCUUUCUCUUCCCUCUCUCUCUCUCUCUCUCUGUCUCUCUCCCUCUAGGCCUUUCAAAUGUUACAAAAAUUGCAGGAGAAAUUAGAAAAAGGGUUCCGGAAAGCUACGCGGGACCCAUGACACAGUACUUGUAAUUUCCAACCGUGCAGGCAUUUUACAACAAAAAAUAAAUAAAUAAAGUGUAGGUAAUUUUUAUUUAUUUUUUGGGCGGGUAGAUCACCCUACAAACUAGCUCAAAGAGUUAUUACAAAUAAUUCGUGUCCUAAGACCCCUAUCAUAUCAUCAAAUAAUCGAGUUUCAAUCCAAUUAGGAGGAUUUUCAAAAUAAUGGUGUCAAAAUCCAUAUUAUAGCUACAAUUGGCAAUGUUAUCUACAAUCAUGUUCUCUUGAUAGACAUGCACUAAUUUGCAUUCGGCUAUGCGUGUCAUAAGUUAUCUACACUGAUGAAUAAUGUUGGCAUGAGAAUGAAAGCUGGUAUCAAUCAUAUUAUUAAUUAAGUUAACCACAAGAGCCGAAUCUAUCUCCAUCACCAUGAAUCUAGAAAUGAUGGAAACACCUCUCAACAAACCUUUUCCUCCACCAUUACACAAUGUUUUUCAACACACAACCCUUUCUUUGGCGAGUUCUCGCCGUCUCCGACGAAGGUAAGUCCCUAGAACCUCGUGGAUCGUGUUCUAGUAUUAUAUUAGGGAAGUUUUAGGCGUUAAUCACAUGUGGACAUAGGAGAAAACUCGAAGGAAUGUACUGUACACUUUCUGGAAAAACCUAAACCGUGGUUGUUUGGCCACUUUCUAGUCACUUUUCUAGCCAACUCUGACCUUUGUUGAUCUCGAAAGGGUAUAGAUCUCUUCUCCACAUUUCUAGCUUUACAUAGGAUCUUGAAUCACUCGAUUUAGAGUUGUAUUGAGCUCAAAAUAAGCUCUGGAAGUUGGAAGAAAAUCUGGAAAAUUUCCAGAAAUUGGGAAGGCGAGUACAGUGUACUCAUGGGCGCAUGGGGCUACGCGUGGUGUUGUAAUGCCCAGUGCGUGGAGCACACGCACCUCCAUCGGAGGUACUGUGCUUCGCCACCAUCCACGACGACAACCACGGCAGCACUGACGACUUUCCGACCAACUUUCCAAUGACCCAAAUCGAUGUAUGGCGGAACAUCCAGUGGUGAGUAGCCUCACAGCCGCCGCCCCGCGGUGACGCGCGGCGGCACGUGAAGGAACCCGAGGUCCCUUCUUAGGUUUUUCGACGUCCCGAAUCCAAAUUCAACAUCCGUUUUCCCAAAUUCAAUCGUAUUAGUAGGGUUUUAAUAAUUGGUCCUUUUAUGUGCUUAGGUGCGAUUGUUGGUGGCGAUUCCAUCCUCCCUUGCCCAAACGGCUCUUUAACGACAGAGUAUCAGUGAAUGAACCCCUUCUUAAAUUGCAUGAUUUUUAUUAAAUGCUAGACUUGCAUUCAUGAAAAGCAUGGUUUCAUGAUUUUACGUGUCAUGCUUUAUUUACGAUUUAUUGAAUUUAAGUUUACGAAAGAUUUACGAACCAUGGCUUUUUACACUUUACGAUACAUGAUGGAUUUAUUAUGAUUUUGGAUGAUGAAGUUUUGGUAUUGUACACUUGGUAUGAGAUUUUGGUUACGUUUUUCGGUGCUUAUCUGGUGGGUAAUCAUACAACACAUACACAUAACCUGAGUAUGUAUACGUUUAUAGCCAUAGGACACAGUUCAGGAUCAAUGAGAUACUUAUGGCAUACUCCUAGCUUCAUUGGAAAAACCAGUGUUAGAUAGCUUCACUAGCCACAGUUAGUGUCGGUGUGUUAUGUUAUAUUUCUUCUCUAGCUUCACCCAGAAUGUUACAGCUUCACCUUUAGGUGAUGGGAUCUACCAUGUUUCUUCACUGGCAUAACCCAGUGUCGUACAGCUUCACCCUCGAGUGAUGGAUAUGCUUCGGGCGACUAUGAUACCCUUAAUUGAGUACUUUAUUAUUUUGGAUUUAUGAAGGUUUUAUGGAUUUACCUUCGAGCGACUAUGUUAUCAUUAAUGAGCACUAUUUUAUACAUACAUGUGGAUGCACAAAAUCAGCGAGGACUUUGGUACAAUAGAAAGUGUUAAGUUUGUGACCUUCGCUAGAUUGUUCCGGUCACUAGUGUGGAUAAGUAAGUAAAUGGAUAGGGACAGGGAAGCAAACACAAGAUGUACGUGGUUCACCCAGAUUGGCUACGUCCACGGAGUAUGAGGAUUUCUCAUUAAUUGUGAAGGGUUUACACAAGUACAUAGGUUCAAGCUCUCCUUUAGUGAGUACUAGUGAAUGAUUUAGUACAAAUGACAUUAGGAAAUAUUGUGAGAUAAUGAUCUCUAUUUAUAGAAGAGAGUUUCUAGUUUCAUUCUAACAUUGACACGUGUCGUGUUGUGAUUGGCUUUUGAUGUUAACACGUGUCGCGCUAUGAUUGGCUUCUGAUGUCGACAUAUGUCGCACUGUGAUUGGCCUCCUGGUUGGAGGGAAACUCUUCUGGGUCCUUGACGGUAUAACGGUGACCGGUCCUCAGUAGUUUCGAGAUUGGUCAAGUAUGGUACAAACAGUGCUCCCCUAAGUUCCCGAAUAAGGGAAGCUCAUCAGUUGGGGACUUGCAAGAUCCAAGUCAUUGAGUAAUCAUGAAACUUCUAAGUACCGAAGUGUGGUAUCAUUUUCACUUUCCUUAUCUGUCUCAUAUGUAGAUGUGGCAUCUUCUUUAGAAGUACUUUUCCUCCAUCCACGGGUGGUAUCUUUAACCGAUGAAGAUGCACAAGGUAAUGUAUCAAUUUCACUUGAAGCUUACUUGUAGUUUCGAGCUUGGUUAAGUGCGAUACAAACCCUAUAGUAAGAGUCCCCCAAGUCGCCGAGCUAGGAGAUUUGCCGAAGGAGGUAACAGACAAGGUAAGCAAUCAGACUUCCAAGCAAGCAACCUGGAUCGGAAGUUCGACUUCGGCUUCCGGUUGAUUGUUCUCCUUCUUCUUGUGUCGUAAAUAGCACCAAGGAUAAAGAGAAGCAAAUGGAGAAGAGAUGAUAUGAGAUACUUUUGAUUUUGAAGAAAUAACUUUCCACAGGCUUAUUCUUGAACUGGGCUGGAGGGUUUUCUGGUUUCCUCCAGAGUAUAAGGCCGACUCAAGAAUUUGAGGGUCAAAACAAGUCCAUCAAAUCUAGAGUACGUUCGACCCUGAUGAUAUGGGAUAUUUUUGCUGUUGAAAAAGUAGUGGAUGUAUCGGCACAUGUUCUGUUACGCUUGUCUCCACAUGCUUCCUUGUAUCAUUCUCACUUACCCUAUCUGUUCCUCAAGCAGAUGUGGUAUCUUCUCUGGAAGCAUAAGAUGUUGAAGAUGAGUACUCGAGAGCAAUGCCAGGUAAGUAAUCAGGCAAGGGGUUCCAGGCAGUCAAUUCCUAACUGGAAGCUUGAUUCCACGACGCCAAAUGUUGAUGCACAAAAUCAACGAGGACUUUGGUACAACAAAAAGUGUUAAGUUUGUGACCUUUGCUAGAUUGUUCCGGUCACUAGUGUGGAUAAGUAAGUAAAUGGAUAGGGACAGGGAAGCAAACACAAGAUGUAUGUGGUUCACCCAGAUUGGCUACGUCCACGGAGUAGAGGAGUUCUCAUUAAUUGUGAAGGGUUUACACAAGUACAUAGGUUUAAGCUCUCCUUUAGUGAGUACUAGUGAAUGAUUUAGUAUAAAUGACAUUAGGAAAUAUUAUGAGAGAAUGAUCUCUAUUUAUAGAAGAGAGUUUCUAGUUUCAUUUUGACAUUGACACGUGUCGUGUUGUGAUUGGUUUCUGAUGUUAACACGUGUCGCACUAUGAUUGGCUUCUGAUGUCGACAUAUGUUGCGCUGUGAUUGGCCUCCUGGAUUGAGGGAAACUCUUUUGGGUCCUUGACGGUAUAACGUUGACCGGUGCUCAGUAGUUUCGGGAUUGGUCAAGUAUGGUACAAACAAUACACAUUUUAGAUGUUUUCAUGGCACAUUAGGGUUUUCAGAAAAACCUAGUAUGUAGUAUUAUAUAUGUCUGUUUUCAAAACAGAGGUAUGUUCAAAAGAAAAUUAGGUUUACUUAGUAUUAAUUUUAUUAUAAACUUUGGUCCACUCACCCCCUUCAAGACUUAAAAUCGAGGCGUACGAUUUCAAUGUUAAGGCAUUCCUAUAUCAGUACCUUCGAGUCCUCUCGGUGUAGGACCCCCAUUUCUUUGUAAUACCAUUGUUAUAUAAUAUUCUUUUCGUAGUAUCCUUGAUUAGUUGUAAACUUUGAACACAUUCCCGCAUUCGCAUAUUUCAUUAUAUUUAAAUUUACUUAUUUUAUUUACAGUUGCUUUUUCUUCAUAACUUGCAUACAUGUUAAAAUGGCUUCUUCACCCUGGGGUGUCAGCCAGCACGUGCCCAUCUUGGUGUUUGAAGGAUAUCGGGAUCAGGGUGUGUCAUAAAAGGAGACACAAACCAGACAGCUCGAGCAAACCCAAAGUCCUUUGAUAAAUGUUCGUCAGUUUUCAAGCGCUCCAUUGCACACCCCUCCAUACCAUAUCCAACUUGACUCCUUUUGGAUAGUCUUGCCACCAGGGAAUCAAAAUGGUGGAGUAGCCGCCACCCUUGCUUAGUCACCAUUGCCAAGUUAAAGGCAUAAAUGUCUCGACAUCCCAAACCACACUCCGCCUUUAAUUUACAUAAUGUCCCAUGACCACCGAUGGAUUUUACACGCCUCCGGAUCACUUCCUUACCAAAACAUUGCUAUUAACUGAUGUAAUUCAUUGCAAAAAGUUUUCGGUAAUGAAAAACAGUUCACUGCAUAAGAUGGGAAAGUUUGAGCCGCCAACUUUAUAAGGAGUGCUCUGCCACCUCGACUAAGCACCUUACUUUUCCAUCCACUAAGCCAUUUGGCAAUCCUCUCUUUAAUGAAUGAGAAGGUUUGUUUCUUGUUCCUUCCCACACCCACAAGGGUAGGUAGCACCAAGUAUCUAUUAUGUCAUCCACCAACUAAACCCUCAGAAAAUCGGCCAAUUACCGCUGCUCAUAGUAUUGCAUAUUAGCACUAAAAGCUACACUACUUUUACUGAAGUUCACUGCUUGACCCAACCUGAUGACUUGGAAUACAAGUCCAAGACAUUUUGGACGACAACAUAUUCAUCCACGUUGGCCUUACCAAAUAGAAAGCUAUUGUCGGCGAAAAGCAAAUGAUGAAUACUUGGUGCCCCGUCACAAAUGUGUAUACAACUCAAAGCUCCCAUUUGUUCCUUCUUUGCAAUGAGCCGAUAGACCUUCAACACAAAUGAGGAAAAGAUAUGGCGUCCCCUUGCCGUAGUCCCUUGGUUGGUACCACGUAACCUCGCGACUCUCCAUUAAUUAAAAAAGAAUAUGAGACUGAUUUCACGCAAGUCAUGAUUGCCUUAGUCUAUUUCCCGUCAAAUCCCGUCUUAAACAUCAUUGUUUCCAAAAACGUCCAUUCCACUUUGUCAUGGGCUUUACUGAGAUCCAGUUUCAAAGCUAGAAAAUCAUCUCUCCCCGCACGUUUAUUAUGUAGAUAAUGGUCAAUCUUCGCUACCACCAAGGAAUUAUCCAAAAUCAAACAGCCCGAAACAAAAGCACUUUGAUGUGGAGAGAUAAUGGUAGACAUAAUUCAUUUGAGCCGAUUGGCUAACAUAAUUCAUUUGAGCCGAUUGGCUAACACCUUAGCUCUUAUCUUGUAGAUGACAUUGCAUAAACUAAUGGGUCGUAACUAUGACAUAUCUUGAGGCUCAUUAACUUUGGGUGCCAAAACAACAUCAGCGAAGCGAGCCUCCCUCAAAAGUCUUCCCGAAUUAAGGAAGGAGCGAACAUCCUCCACCACAUCAUGCCCAACAAUAUGCCAAAAACGUUGGUAAAAUAGCUGGGAUACCCCAUGCCAAAUAAAGUAUAGGCAUUGACGAAAGGGAUUUUGGUUAAUUUAUAUUUAAUUUGUGAUCUGAGAUCUAUUGAGUGAAGUGAAAUACUAAAUCGUAGUAGAGAUUAGAGUCGUCUAGCGACUAUUACUUUUAAUUCAAACGAAAGAAAAUUGGUAUGAACCUAAGAUCUCUUCAAUGAUUUCUUGCAUUGAUCAUGUUCUUUGUAACGUGAAGCUUCAAUCUAUAUGCCAUGUACGCAUCAAACCGAUUGCAUAUCGAAAAAAUAUCCCUCUUAAAGUUGGCUUCUUAAAUCUAUAAAUUUUCUAUGAUUUCUUGCAUUGAUCAUGUUCUUUGUAACGUGAAGCUUCAAUCUAUAUGCCAUGUACGCAUCAAACCGAUUGCAUAUUGAAAAAAUAUCCCUCUUAAAGUUGGCUUCUUAAAUCUAGAAAUUUUCUAGAAGGGUAAUGCUAGAUAAACUAAUCAACUCUUAUGUCAUUUAGUUUACAAAAAAUUGUCUAACAAUUUAGUCUCCCUAGCAUUAUCUUUUCUCGAAUGCACCUGUCGAAGGGUAGUUGAAAGUAAGUAAUUUUUCGCACUUUUAUUUUUCUAUCCUCUAGGUUUUUUUUGUCAAACAUUAUAAAAUCCAUUAAUAAAGAAAGCAAGUACAAAAGAAGGAAAGCCCAAAACAAACAAGUAAAAGCACAAUCCAACAUAAUAGAAAAUACGAUGAAUAAGAAAAGAAAGACCACAAACAAGAGAAAACUCCAACUGAAACCCUAAAUUUGAAAAAAAAAAUUAAAUAAAUAAAAAAAAAAGAAAAAGUGCCUAACCCCUCUAUAAGCUAGUUGCAGCACCUUCACAACGCCAACACCAUCAAGAAGACGAACCAAGGAACCACAAAUGGAUGAAUGAAAAAUGAAGGUGGCCACGCCACCCGCGCAAUGAGCGCUCCCAUAGUCCUACCAGAUAGUGCAAAUAUCACUUUAAAAGCCACCAUAUGGUGGAGCACACCUCCUAAUGAACAACUUGGAAGAGCCAUCCAAUGAAACAAGUAGCCAAGGUUGAUGAUAGAGGAUUCGUAAGGAGGAACAACAACUGGGAGGAACGAUGCAUAACAGACUGAGAUAAACUCAAAGCAAAAUUGAAACGAGCUCAGAAUAAACUGAGACAAAAGCUCAGAGCACAGCACCAGAGGAUAACAGAUGCUAAUGCUGAUGAGGGAAAGAAAACAAAACCAGAAGGAAAGCAGACAAAAAAAAAAAAAAAAAAGAAACAGAAGGGAGGGAGAGACCAGGACGGAGGGAAAGAAAGGAUUUGGGGGAGGGGUUAGAGGGGAGAAAUAAAUCAGAAACCCUCCCAAACUUCACAUUCAUUCACUCACAAUUCAUUGCAUACGAAAACCUUUGCAACACAUCGAACAAACGAUUUUCUCAUCCUUCAAUGAGGCUACCCAACAAGUCAAAAUCUGAUUAAUGACUUCAUGAUUUUCAAUAACCACACUUCUACGGUAAACGUUCACUGCCACGUAACGUCCCAAUCCAAUAAUGCAAUGUUAUGCAGUGAGAAUCUUACACAGCGCCACAAUGAUAGUAAACCCAUUUCAUGUGUGUCCUCCUGCCAAAGGACAGCAACAUAAACACUCCCUGCUGAAAUGCCAGACAAUGGUGGAGUUCCAAUUAGGGCAUAAAGUCAAUUGCAAGCAACAGAAGAUUUAGGUUUUUCCAUGAAACAAAAACUUCUAAAAUUCAUCACAAUGGAGUCGAAAUUUCAAUUAUACAGUUAAAUUUCACUUUUCUUUCUUUUUUUCCAAAAACAAAAAGUCGCACUAAUUCUAAUACACUAAUGGCUCUUUUGCCACUGUAGAAGUAACUUUUCAGCUUCAUCUUCUGUACGACACAAAAGAAGGCAGAGGAAUAAACAAACCUUGCAGCCGAGAGAAAGCCGAGCAGCACAAGAUGAUACAGAAGGUGUUCUCAGAAGUUACAAUUAAAGCUUCUGCAACCGAUCAGCCCUUACCUUGCGUGAGAGAAAAAUACACAGCUAAGAUCAUUGGGUUCAGAGAAAUCACAGUUGAUAAAACGUGGAUAAAAUCUAAGGUCACUGAACAUUGAAUUAACAUAGAGAUUUCCCCAUAACAGCUAAUUCCUAUCGCCAAUUACCUUAGGCUUCCAUUCAGUACUAUUUUUCCUACUGUAAUCGUGUUCGUUGUUUCCGUUUGAUUUAUUCAAUCCCAAGGCCAGAAAUAAACACAGGCAUGUAGGAAAAGAAAAAUGGUGUGGCUAUUCCAACACUUGUAGCAGUUUUUCACCUAUUGCUUUUUGAAUUAAUUCCUAUGUCUAAAUCUCUGUACCUUGUGCGGAGGACUUCCUGGUCUUAACAUGUUGUUGCUUAUCCCAAGCCUUCCCUUCUUCUCAGAUGCUUUCAAAAUCUGGAAGGAACAUGUCAUGUAUCAUCUACACUCAUCAUGGCACCAGCAUUAUCGAACUCCCCACAGCAAUUUUGUGCUGAAAGUAUGGUUACCGGCUUUCUUUUUCCGAAAAACUCAUAUCCAUCUUCCACAACCUGAUAAACAAAACUCAAGAAAUUUAAUAAGAAAUGGACAAACAUUGAGAGAAUCUGAUAAUAAAAUACAAUUUGCAUCUCAGACCGAGCAAAAAUAUGUGUUCACAAAUACUCAUAUAAAGAAUUUCACUCCAGCAUCAAUUGGAAGACAAUAUCCAAUCAAUUAAAUGAGUAUGUGAUGAAACAGGUGAAACACAAGAAGUCCUCCUAUCGAAUGAAUAUUUUCAAGUGUACAACUACUUAUUGAAAAAUUUAUACCUGCGCCUAGAAUCUCAACACAGCACAUGGCAUACUAGCAUUCGAUACCAAUACACCAGGAUAACAACCCAAUGGACUUACCACAGUGACAAAGUUGAUGAUGAGUAGUGGAAUGAAUAUGAAAAAAAGGGGAAAUCAACCCAGAAAAACAGAUAAAUCAAUGCAAACACACACAGAAUCUCAAAUUAUAACUUACUCCGUGUGCUUUUACAUGUCAAAAUAUGAAAGACUAAAUUUUAAAAAAAGUUAUGUCAAAAUUAUCAUAGUUGUAUAAGAAAAGUGAUUAUUUGAAGAUGCAUCACAUGUGGUCAAAUCUUUAAGUCCCAGAUGUUGUGUAUACAUGAUGCAGGUCCAGCUCAGUCACAAACGAAAAAACAAAAAGAAAGAAAACAACUACAUAGCACCUGAUGAGCACGACAAAUGAGAUCAAGGUCAUGUUUCUGGAGAAAUUUGGCAACCUUGUCAGCCCAAAUGUAUAUGACCACCACAAUCAUUCUCUCCCCAACCUUCAACAUCUUUAUCGGGAUCAGCCCAUAAUAGAUCACAGAAAAGCUCCCGAAACUGUUCACCUUAACGAAAAACCAUAUUUUUCACUAAAAAGUCAAUCCCGAUACUAUUUACUUUACCUUUUAUUUUGUCAUUAUUGAUAAAACUCAAAGUUUUCAAGCAUUUUUCAUUAGUUUUCCUAUUUUUCUAUCCUCUAUAGUUUGAAUAAAUAAAAACCCCACCCAAACUUCACAUUCAUUCAUUCACAAUUCAUUGCAUAAGAAAACCUUUGCAACACAUUGAACAAACGAUUUUCUCAUUCUUCAUUGAGGUUACACGAAAAACCGAACAAGAAGUCCUAACCUGAUCAACGACUUCAUGAUUUUCAAUAACCACAAUCCUAUUGUAAGGGUGCGUUUGUUGCACCGGAAUAUCUCAUAAUAACAACACUUCUACUAUAAUAAAGGUUUCACCACCAUGAGGCGUCCCAAUCAAAUAAUGCAAUGUUAUGUAGUGAGAAACUUGCACAGAGCACCAAAAUGAUGGUAAAGGAAAGCAACACACUCGCAGCUGAAUUACCCUGAAAUGGUAAAAUCAAUUGCAAGCAACAAAAAAUUUAGGUUUUGCCAUGAAACAAAAACUUCUACAAUUCAACACAAUGGAGCCGAAAUUUCAAUUAUACAGAUAGUUUCACUUCUUUUUUUGUUUUUGGGAAAAAAAAGUGGCACUAAUUCUGAUACACUAAUGGCUCUUUUGCUACUGUAGAAGUAAAUUUUCAGCUUCAUACUUCUCUACGGCACAAAAGAAGGCAGAGGUGAAUAAUCAAACCUUGCAGUCGAGAGAAAGCCAAGCAGCACAGGAUGAUCCAGGAGUUCUCAGAAGUUACAAGUAAAGCUUCUGCAAUCAUUCAGCCCUUACCCUGCGAGAGAGAAAAGUAUGCAGUUAAACAUCGUUGGUUAGAGAGAAAACACGGUUGAUAAACUUGGAUAAACUCCAAGGUCACCGAUCGAUGAAUUAACUUACAGAUUUCCCCAUAACAACUAAUUCGCAUUGCCAAUUACUUUAGGCUUCCAUUCAGUACUAUUUGACCUACUGUAAGUAUCCAAGGAUGCCAGGUAAGAUACUUCUUACAUUUGAUUCAUCAAAGCUUCGAAACUAUUGAUUAACUCUCCACGAAACAUUAAAAACUUAGGGAAUGAUAACCACACACCCUUUUUCUUCCCCUACAUACCCCCGUCUAAUUAUGUCCAUUGUUUCUGUUUAAUUAAUUCAAUCCGUAGGCCAGAAACAAAAAGAGGCAUGUAGGAAGAUAAAAAUGGUAUAGCAAUUCCCAAAACUUAUAGCAGUUUUUCCCCUAUUGCUUUUUGGAUGUAAUUCGUAUUUCUAAAUUUCUGUACCUUGUGAGGAGGAGUUCCUGGUCUUAACAUGUUGUUUAUCCCAAGCUUCCCCUUCUUCUCAGAGGCUUUCAAAAUCUGGAAGGAACAUGUCAAUGUAUCAUCUACACUCAUCAUGGCACCAGCAUUAUCAAAUUCCCCACAGUAAUUUGGAGCUGAAAAUAUGGUUACCAGCUUCCUGUUUCCAAAAAACUCAUAUCCAUCUUCCACAACCUGAUAAAUGAAACCCAAGAAAUUCAAUAAGAAACGGACAAACAUUGAGAGACUCUACUAAUAAAAUUCAGUUUGCAUCUCAGACCAGGCAAAAAACAUGUUCACAACUAAUCAUAUAAAGAAUUUCACUCCAGCAUCAAUUGAAAGAGAGUAUCCAAUCAAUUAAAUGAGUACGUGACGGAACAGGUGAAAUACAAGAAGUCCUCCUGUGAAUAAAUUUUUCAAGUGUACGUGACGGAACAGGUGAAAUACAAGAAGUCCUCCUGUGAAUAAAAUUUUCAAGUGUGCAGCUAUUUAUUGAAAAAUUUAUACCUGCGCCCAGAAUCUCAACACGGCACAUGGCAUACUAGCAUUCGAUACCAAUACACCAUUAGGGUAACAACCCAAUGGACAUGCCACAAUGACAAAGUAGAUGAUGGGUAGUGGAAUGAAUAUGAAAAGGAGUGGAAAUCAACCCAUAAAAACAGAUAAAUCAUGCAAUCACACACAGAAUCUCUAAUUAUGACUUACUCCGUGUGCUUUUACAUGUUCACCAAAUUCGAAAGAUGAAAUUUUAAAUAAAGUUACUUCAAAAUUAUCAUCCAUAUUACUGUCAUGACAAAUUUAACUGUACAAUAACAGUGAUUAUUUGAAGAUGCAUCACAUGAGGCCAAAUAUUUAAGUUCCCAGACUUUGUGUAUACAUGAGCAUGCAGGUCCAGUUCAGUAUAAAAAAGAAAAAACAAAAAAAGAGAAAAUAACUUCAUAGCACCUGAUGAGCGUGGCAAAUAAGAUCUAGGUCAUGUUUCUGGAGAAAUUCAGCAACCUUGUCAGCCCCAAAUGUAUAUGACAUGCCACGAUCAUUCUCUCCCCAACCUUCAACAUCUUUAUCAUGAUCAGCCCAUAAUAGAUCACAGAGAAGGCCCUGAUCUGGCACGUCCACCGGCCGUGCAAUAUUCCUAAUCUGAUAUAAGUGUUUCAAAUCAGGAGAUAGACCGCCAUGCAUGCAAAGGAUCUUCUCAUCAAAAAGAUCAGCAACAGGAAGACAGUUGAAGCAGUCAAUAAAUGUCUUCCAAAUAUGAACAUUAAAUCUUCUCUUGCACUCAUCAUAGAAUCCAUAGAUGCAAUUGAUGGAAGCAGAUUCAUGGUUGCCUCUGAGGAGAAAGAAUUUCUCCUUGUAUUUGAUCUUGUAUGCAAGGAGAAGGCAUAUUGUCUCUAUGCUAAUGCUUACCACGAUCAACAUAGUCUCCUAGGAAUAAAUAGUUGGCCUCAGGUGGGUACCCACCAUACUCAAACAGUCGCAAAAUAUCUGGAUACUGACCGUGAACAUCUCCUAUGAAACAAAGAGGGAAGAUGAGCAUUGUCAUCUUAGUAAUCAACAGCAAUUUCACAUGUUUUCAAUUUAGGAAACAAAUAUGAAAAUGGUUCUUAAUUAAUCAUUUGAAUUAAGAUUCAACUAGAAAUUGGUCUUUAAUAGUUAUUGAAAUGAUAUAAAAUCUACCGUUAUCAACAUAAAUGGAUUUGCAUCCACUUUAAAAAGACUAAGGUGAACAUGAGAAUGCAAACAAAAUAAUGGUUGAUGAUCAUGAAUAUAAAAUUACUUAAUAACUGAAAUUCCUUAACAAGGCACGGUACUAAAUGGUGGAAAGUGAAACGAUGCUAAUUAGAAAGAAAAAAAGUGUAGUCCACCGUGUUUUCCCUCCGCAUCAAAUAACAAUUUGAAUGACUAAUAACAAUUUGAAUGACACAUAACACUACUGGAUUGGCCAACCUACAAAAACACACGAUUUAACCGACUUUCAACUGUAUGUGUGAGUGUAAUAAAUGAGGAUAGAAUAUAAAUCCUAUUACUUGGUAGUAUCAACUUUUGACAUUUCCCCAAGAGGGGGGAAGCAUCAAAUUUUGACUGCAUUCAAGGGUCAAUCUGCACCCCAAGAAAAGGGUACUCUCAUUCAUCACAAUGACAAACUUCAAUGACUAUCUACUAAAUCCAACUUCAAAGAAUGCCUACCUACACAAAGCACACAUGGAACUAGCGAUGGAAAAAUCGAUGCCUGUCUAAUCUAAAAGUAGAAAAUAAGCACAAUACAGCCACAUCAUAGACACUAGUUCCAGAUGACCUAAGAACUACUUUUCAGAGUAAGAAGCCUAUCUAACGCAGCAACAGGCAACCACGCCAAAACAAAAGUCAAAGGACAAGCUAGCGAAUUACUGAAAGGCCUCAUAUAGAAUCUCAAUCUGACUAGAACCUUGCAACCCUUUAGCAAUGCUCAAAAGUUUUGUUACAUAACCCUGCCAAAGUCGCAAAUUUUUCUAAUGAAAUGCUACAUUAAAUCCUCUGACCAUCAACUUUACUUCGUAAGACAAAUCCAGUAAUAAUCCAGAAUGUGCUAAAUCAUACCUUCCACUUUGCAAUAUAUAUGAAAUUCACCGAUAUGGCCAACAGUAACAGAUUAAUACAUAUGGUAACCCUUUUACUGGUAAUUGCCAUUUCUGCUCUAAUCAAAUGAACCAUAACCCCCCCCCAAAAAAAAAAAAAAAAAAAAAAGACUCUCAUUACCUUUCCAACAAAUUACACAAACCACACUAACAAAAUUCCAAUUUCCAACCAUCAAACCCGUUUAACAUGUUGCGAAUUACCCAUACUACUCUUUCACACAAUCAAGUCCAAAUUCAACACAUAAGCAUGCAAACAAAGUCAAAGAAGCAACUUUUCAAUUCAUCCGAAGCAAAAAAACCAAAACUUUCAAUCCACAAAUCAUUUAAAAACCCUAGUUCUUUACCACAGAUCUUUAUCAGAGCUUCAAGCUCCAGAAGAUUCGGCUGACUGAGAAAGAUUUCCUUGGAGGUGGAAAAAAGCUGCCGUAUUUCAGCCUCCGUGAGUUGCACCUGUUUGGUGGUCCAGCCUUUCUUCGCUGCCACAAGCUUCCGUAUAAGAUGGUCGACAAUACUCUCGUCCAUCACAGCAAAUCACCCAGAAGAAAAAAAAAAAAACCAAUAGAGCAAACGAACCCAUAAUACCAAAACCUAGCACUCUUGGUCGAGGUGAAAAGUGAGAGGAUAAAAAUGUGAUUAACGCGUAGAAACCCGAGAGACAAAGAGAAUCAGAAUAACAAUAAAAGCGUCGAAAUCAAAAGGAGAGAUUUUGGGAUAUAACUGUACACAUCGAAAUUUCAGUGAAAUAAAUGUUAAUCAAUAAUUAAAAUUUCAACUUUCACGUGUCAUAUAAAUUUUACACAUAGCAUGUGACUCAACAAAAAAUCGAGAAUUAUCAUAAAAGUCAUCAAACAUGACACAUGUCAACACUUGGCAGAAAUUAUUUAUUUCAUCUGAUUAUUUAAAUCCAAAAAUCAAGUUUUGAAAUUUUAUAAAUAGGAGGCCAAGACAUUCAUUUUUAAGGACCAAUUCAUAACCAAUUCACCUCACACCAAAACUUUGAAGCUUUGAAACUCCAAAACUCCCAAGCAAAUCCCGAACGAUCAAGAAAUCUCUCUUCGUUCUUUGUCAACCCAACCUUCAAGAUCAAGCCCCAACGGCCCUUUGAAGGAACUUCCACCAAUUCAAGAUCAAGCAUCGACCCUUGAAGAAAGCGCUCAUCGUUCAUCAAUCGUUCAUCCUAAGAUCAAGCCCCAACGGCCCUUUGGAUCAACAACAUCAACAAAUCCAGAUAUCCAACAUUUCUUCAAGAUAAAGCCCAAAAGCCUUUAAAGAUCAAUUCAUCAACUGUUCAUCAAGAUCAAGCCCCAAAGGCCCUUGAAGAUCCGUUCAUCAACAGUUCUUCAAGAUUAAGCCCAAAAGCCUUGAAGAUCCGUUCAUCCAUCAACCUUCAAGAUCAAGCCCAAAAGCCCUUGAAGAAACUUCCCUCAACCUUCAAGAUUAAGCCCCAACGGCCCUUGAAGAAAACUUUCAACCAUUCAUCCAAGAUCAAGCCUCGACGGCUCUUGGAUCAAUCACACAUCCACAAAUCAACACCUUACGGAGAUCGAAUCAGAGGAUCAAAUUUAAGAGAGAUUGUAACCCUUAAAUCAUUAAUACAAAAUAUUAUUUUGUACACGUGUUCUUGUCUCGUUUGUUUCAGGAAUUUUCGUGUUCACAAAUUUGGCACGCCUAGUGGGAUCUUCUCUACCUCUCAUCUCUAUCUUUGAAUCCAAAAAAAAAAAACACAAAUGGCAUCAAAGAAGGCUCAAGUUGUUCUCGCAGCCAAUGCGAAGAACAAGAGCAUCCUCGCCGCAGGUGGUGUCACUUCGGGCAUCAUAACUCGAAGUAAGGCAAGAGCUCUUUUUACCUCAUCUUCCACCCCUGCAUCAACUCUGCCGAAAGAACAAGGGCACCCAAGGCACGAGCCCGUGAUCACUUUGGCCUUGCCAAGGGUGCCAAGGGAGGAAAGCCCGAGGAAGUACUCUGAGUCUUUGCUUUCCGAUGCUAACUCGAGCGACAGCACAGCCAUGCAAGUUAUGACUACCGGAGCAACUUCAAUCUAUGAGCAGCUGGCUCAAAUGAAUGAAGCGAUCGCAAGGCUAACACGGAUUGUAGAAGAAAAAGACUUACAAAUCACUGCACUCGUCAACCGACUGGAGCCACAGGACGGCGAGAACCCUGACCCAGAGGAUUUUCCACUAAAGAGAUGAGCUGGCAAAGAAGAGGAGCAUCCGGUGGAGAAAAUCGAUGUGAAGCCGGAGCCAGACCAAGUAGCGGCAGUCAUGGGAUCUCUUUCUAUCCAGCAGCUGCAAGAGAUGAUCACCGACACCAUCAAGGUGCAGUACGAAUGGAGCUCACAUACCUCUUUGUUAUACUCGAAACCCUACUCGAAGAAGAUUGAUGCCCUGAAGAUGCCAAGAGGUUAUCAACUACCAAAGUUCAUGCAGUUUGAUGGCAAAGGAAACCCAAAACGGCACGUUGCACAUUUCGUCGAAACUUGCAACAACGCGAGGAUGGAAUGAGAUUACCUCGCCAAGCAGUUUGUACGCUCACUGAAAGGAAAUGCCUUUGAGUGGUACACAGACCUAGAGCCUGAGUCCAUCAACAGUUGGGAGCAAUUGGAAAGGGAAUUCCUCAGCCGCUUCUACAGCACCCGCCGCACUGUGAGCAUGCUAGAGCUGACGAGCACGAAGCAAUUGAGGGAUGAGCCAAUCGUGGACUACAUCAACCGAUGGUGCAAUCUAAGCCUCGACUGCAAGGACAGGCUCUCAGAGAUCUCUUCAAUCAAGAUGUGCGUCUAAGGCAUGCAAUGGGGGUUACAUUAUCCUUCAAGGCAUCAAACCACAGACAUUUGAAGAGUUAGCCACCCGUGCCCACGACAUAGAGCUAAGUAUUGCCCAUCACGAGAAGAAAGAGCCGAUCACCGACUUCAAGAAGGAUAAAGUGUUCUCCCCAAAUGUAGACAAGACUGGGAAGAAAACCCCCAAUUAAGCAUUCACUGUUAGCACUGCGCCCGUCAAGACCGCCUCCGCACCCAACAAGAUCUCCUCCAAAGCCAAAGCAAAGGAGAUAAAAAGAGGUGAGCCUCCUCGCACCCAAGACAGGUAUAAAAGCACCUUGAGGGAAUUGGAGCAGAAGGUGUACCCUUUUCCUGACUCAGACGUGGAUGCAAUGUUAGACGACUUGCUGGAAAAAAAGGUAAUCGAGCUACCCGAAGCUAAGCGGCCUGAAGAAAUGAAUCGCAUAAACGAUCCUAAAUACUACAAGUACCAUCAAAUUGUGAGCCAUCCUGUGGGUAAGUGUUUCGUCUUAAAAAAGCUCAUCAUGAAGCUAGCACAACAAUGACGAAUCGAGCUCGACCUCAAAGAUACGGCCGCAACACAUACUACUACAAUUGCAUUUGGAUCUUUCGAUCCCGCACCUCUCCAAGCAAUACCUGACCAUUCUUAUCAAUGCUCAAGUUACACGAUACCUUCUGCACAACCAUCGCCAGGGGCAAACGAACAAGAUGCACAUGCCGAUGAUGAAGAAGGAUGGACAUUGGUGACCUACAAAAAAACAAGGAAACCAAAACCACAAGCCACAAGACCAAAGGUGGAACAAGAAAGCACCGUUGCCACAAUAGUAGGAAGCCCAAAAGAAACGUAAAAGCUGAUAAGCCAAUGUAUGUUGGGGAACCUAUGGUGCAAGAGCCACGCAUUCCUGUCUCCUUGCACAAGUACUUCCCGAAUGACUUCUUCCAACAGUGCAUUAUCGCUGUAUGCCACAUGGUCGAAAUAGAAAUGGAAGAACUUUCAAAAGGUAAAGAUAUCACCACUGAGGGAGAAAAAAAACUCUCACGCUCGAAGAAGGUCUGCCAACACACUUUAGCAUUGAGGAAGCGCUACGAUUGCCAAGAAGAUGCGAAGAGCAUUAGCAUCGGUCUUGGAAAGUCCCAAUGACCACGAAGUGCAAGAAAGCAAGAACGAAUGCUUGAAGCUUCAGCCACAUGAAUGUGCCACAUGCUGUGCCAUCGAGGACGCAAUCCACUUCACCGACGAAAACUUGCUGCUAGGAUCCAAGCCUCACAAUCGUCCUAUCUUCGUCUUUGGGUACGUAAGGGAGCACAAAGUCAACCGCAUGCUUGUGGAUGAUGGAUCAGCCAUAAACAUCAUGCCAAAGUCAACAAUGACUACAAUCGGCAUCAAAGUCGUCUACUAAUCCAAGGUUUUAAUCAAGGAGGACAAAAAACGAUAGGCAUGAUCCGAGUAGAGAUGACUAUUGGUGAACUCAAGUCAAGCACGAUAUUCCAUGUGAUUGAUGCAAGAACUUCCUACGGCUUGCUCUUAGGAAGGCCUUGGAUCUAUGCGAAUGGAGUAGUACCGUCUACCCUUCACCAAUGCUUAAAAUUCUACCAAGAAAGAGUGAAGGUAAUCUAUGGCGACACCAAAUCAUUCAUCGCAGCCGAAUCACAUUUCGCAGACGCCAAGUUCUACAUGGAUGAAGACAUGGUGCCUGAAGCUCUUCCAAAAGAGAUCAAAUCCACGGGCAAAGCAACACCUAAAAAGCAGGAGUGGCAAGCCAUGCCUAAGAAGCAAGAAGGAGAAGCCAUGCCGUCUUCAAACAAGAACGAUGAUAAGCUUGCUAAACCUACAACAACCAAAGGGAGUACGACGCCCUCAAAUGGACCAAACACACCCGUCUUCCGAUACAUUCCGAUGUCGAGAAGAAAGAAUGGUCAAUCUCCGUUCGAAACUGAAGCAAGCAAAGCCGACGCACAGCGGCAUAUGGAUAAUGUAAAGUUGCUCAAGACAAAUGCAGUUUUGCCUCUGACACAGCUAGGCGACGCUAAGGUUGCAAGACUACCACAAGGCUUCAUAAAAGCUCUACCAAAGGGGGUGGAACCAAGCUUUCUCCCAACUAAGAGGACUGAAGAAGGUUUUGAUCCAAAUGCCUACAGACUCAUGUCGAAAGCUGGGUACGACUUCGCUUCUUCCUCGAAUCCUGAAAAAAAGGUUUCUAACACCGUCAAUAAUAAAGAACGUGACCUCAUCGAGACUCAAAAGAAGUUGAAGAAACAUGGUUACGAAGUUGACAACGACAAAGCUGGACUUGGCUUCACACCAAAUGCACCCGUGAAGAUUUCAAACAAAGCAAAAAAUGCUAGCACUCAACACAUCAGCGUAAGCAUUGAACAAGAUCAAGAGGAGCCUAAGUCCGCCUCUCCGACGUCAGUUUUCGAUAGAGUGAAUCGUUCAAGACCCAGAACGUCAGCACUUGAUCACAUUGGUGGUCAAAACUGAACCUCCGUCUUCAAGAAGUUUAACAGGCCAACAUCCCAAAGCUCUGUUUUUGAAAGGUUGUCAAAACCUAAGAAGCAAAGCCACACGGCCAGCUCUCCUUUUUGUCGGUCGACUUUGGAAAGACUUGAAGACAACUGGAAGUUUUCUAGAAAUAGGGAGACAACGUCAAAGGAAGAAAAGCUCGAUAGGCUAGCAAAAAAAGGCAAUAUUCGAAGCUCAAUUCUUUCAAGGAUGAAUAGCCAAACAAUCUUGGAGGUUGACACAAAUGGACCACUGAAAGUAAGAAGGCGCACCAUCAUCCACACUGGACAAUCUUCAUACCAACAAGCCCAAGAGGAUGACACUGAAGGGGAGAUCCAAGACAUCUUCCCCGUCACAAUCCAAAAAGGCAAAGGAGACAAAAUCUUUAAGGAAGACGUCACUUUUUUUUCUUUCGACUCAAAGUCACCACCUUGAUCGCUGGGGGCAUGCUCCAAGUCAAGUGAAGUUGAAGGAGGGACUCAUGUCACUUCAAAGAAAUUACACAUGAAGCCUACGUCGCAUUCACAAAUGCGCCAAUCGAAAAGGGGGCAAGAAACCAUUGUUAAUACUUUCAAGCCUGGAUGAAGCUGAGAUCGACAACAUUAUCGAAGGUGAUCUAAUUCAAGAGGUCAUGGACGCAGGAUGAAACUUAAAUGUUGCCUUUAAAAAAUCAGGGGAACUCCGCGCUUGCAUAGAUUCUCGUAACUACAACACCCGAAAGGACGACACCGAAGAGGAAGUCCAGGAUGUCUUCCACAUCACGAUCUAAGAAAGCAAAGAAGACGAGAUCCCCAAAGAAGAUGUCACUGUUGCGCCACCACAACUUGAGGAUGGGGGGCAAGCCACGGUUGAUGAUCUCAAAGAGCUCAACUUAGGCACAAUAGAGGAGCAGAAACCUAUCUUCCUCAGUGCGCUGCUAAGUGCAGACGAGGUAGAUGAGUAUUACCAACUGUUAUCAGAGUACAAAGACGUCUUUGCUUGGACCUACAAGGAAAUGCCCGGCCUUGACCCUGUCAUCGUUGUGCAUCAUCUUGCAAUCAAGCCUGGAACGCGACCGAUAAAGCAAACUCAAAGGCGCUAUCGAUCUGAGCUUAUUCAAUAAAUCGAGGCAGAGAUCGACAAGCUAAUUGAAGCAGGCUUCAUUCGAGAGGUGCAAUACCCCAAGUGGAUCUCCAACAUCAUCAUCGUCCUUAAGAAAUCUAGACAAAUACGUGUUUGCGUAGACUUCCGGAACCUCAAUGACGUUUGCUCGAAAGAUAAUUUUCCCUUGCCAAUCAUCGAAAUCAUGGUGGAUGCAACCACUGGCCACGAGGCACUGUCAUUCAUGGACGGCUCUUCUGGAUAUAAUAAAAUUCGCAUAGCUCUCGAAGACGAAGAACUAACAGCCUUCCGCACUCCAAAAGGUAUCUACUGCUACAAGGUGAUGCCCUUUGGUCUGAAGAACGUUGGAGCUACAUAUCAAUGUGUAAUGCAGAAAAUCUUCAAUGACAUGCUACACAAAAAACGUAGAAUGUUACAUAGACGAUGUGGUGGUCAAGACAAAGAAAAGAUCAGACCACUUGAAGGAUUUACGAAUGGUGUUCGAAAGGCUGCGAAAAUACAACCUCAAGAUGAACCCGUUAAAAUGUGCGUUUGGUGUCACCUCUGGAAAGUUCCUUGGCUUCAUUGUCAAGCACCGUGGUAUUGAAGUAAACCAAUAAAAAAUCAAGGCCAUUCAAAGCAUGCCUGAGCCAAGCAACCUGCACGAGCUGAAAAGUCUACAAGGACGGCUAGCCUUCAUCAGACGCUUCAUCUCCAGCCUUGUAGGGUGUUGUCAACCGUUCAGCUGACUCAUGAAAAAAGAUGUUCCGUUUGUAUGGGACGAAGCAUGCCACAGUGCUUUUGAAAGCAUAAAAAAGUAUUUGUCAAGUCCACCUGUCUUGGGGGCGCUUGUGCCUGGGAAACCACUCAUAUUGUACAUCGCCGCUCAGGAAAGUUCAGUUGGAGCACUCUUGGCGCAAUAGAAUGAAUCCCAGAAAGAAUAAGCGCUCUAUUACCUCAGCCGAACUCUCACCGGCGCUGAGUUGAACUACUCUCUAAUAGAAAAGAUGUGCCUUGCCUUGGUGUUCGCCAUCCAGAAACUCAGGCAUUACAUGCAUGCUUACACUAUCCACUUGGUUGCUAAAGCUGACCCGGUCAAAUACGUCAUAUCUAAAUCAGUCUUAACGGGGCGACUCGUUAAAUAGGCGCUGCUUCUUAACCAGUAUGAGAUCAUUUAAGUCCCAGCUAAAGCCGUCAAGGGACAAGCGCUAGCAGACUUUCUUGCAGAUCAUCCAAUCCCAACUGAUUGGAAAAUCUCAGACAACUUGCCUGACAAGGAAGUGUUCUACAUCGACAUCUUCUCGACAUGAACGAUGUUCUUCGACAGAUCUGCACAAGUAGACAGAGCAGUGGCAGGAAUAGUAUUUAUGUCGCCAUAAAGGCAGAUAUUACCUUGUUCCUUUCAACUAAGUGAAUUAUGCUCCAACAACGUCGCUGAGUACCAAGCACUGAUCAUCGGGCUCUAAAUAGCGAUCAACAUGGGAAUUACAGCCCUUGAGGUAUUUAGCGACUCCAAGCUCAUAAUCAAUCAACUCUUAACCGAAUAUGAGGUGAGGAAAGAUGAUCUCGUCCCAUACUUCCGGCUGGCAACUCAACUGCUACAAAAGUUUGAGACUGUGACACUAGAACAUGUGCCAAGAAAAGAAAAUCAAAUGGCAGACGCUCUUGCCAACCUAGCCUCAAACAUGACAUUAGGAGAAGAUGAAACCGCAGACGUGCCAGUCUGCUAAAGAUGGAUGACCCCUCUCGUCACUGAAAUACUGCUGGAUGAUACAAAUGUCAUCUCAGUACUUCCAGUCGAUGUUGAAGAGUGGAGACAACCGCUAAUUAACUACUUAGAGCAUGGAAAACUUCCAGAUGAUUCUAGACACCGCUCUAAAAUACGUCGACGAGCACCUCGCUUCCUCUACUACGAAGAAACACUCUACCAGCGCUCUUUCGAAUGAGUACUUCUGAGAUGCCUAGGUGAGGAAGAAGCCAAUCAAGCCAUGGAAAUACAAGUUCUACGAGAAAUACAAGUUCAACUGCACAAGUCUUCCAUGUAUCAUGCUCCGGCCAACGGUUUUGCAGAAGCAUUCAAUAAAACAUUGUGCAAUCUCUUAAAGAAGGUGAUCGGCCGAACAAAGAGAGACUGGCACGAAAGAAUAAGCGAAGCACUUUGGGCAUAUCGGACGACAUAUAGGACUCCUACCCAAGCUACGCCUUAUUCUCUUGUAUAUGGCAUAGAAGUUGUUCUACCGCUCGAAAGUCAAAUUCCCUCACUAAGAAUGGCUAUACAAGAAGGCUUGACUGAUGAAGAGAAUGAAAAGUUGCGCCUUCAAGAGUUGGAAGCACUCGACGAAAGAAGGCUCGAAGCUCAACAACAUUUGGAAUGCUACCAAGCACGGCUAUCCAAGGCAUUCAACAAGAAGGUCCGCCCAAUGUCUUUCCAAACUGGAGAUCUUGUCCUUGCAUUGCGUAGGCCUAUCAUCACAACUCACAAGACAAAAAACAAGUUCACAUCAAAGUGGGAUGGACUAUACGUAAUAUAAGAAGUCUACACCAACGGCGCUUACUUAAUCAUGGUAGAAGACGGCUUGAAGAUCGGCCUCAUCAAUGGCAGAUUCUUGAAGCGCUACUACCCCUAAAACAAACGCCAUGCUCCUCGCCAACAUGAGCAUAAACUGCACAUGGCAACAAAGCUCCUGGCCCGCGAAAGCAUAAACUGCGUAUGGCAAAAAAAAAAAAAGUAUUUAAACCAUGUUAUGACUUGAUCCCUCCUCAACCGAGGGUACAUAGGCAACUUGAAAUGUCAAAACUUCAAGUACAGUCACACCAUCUAAAAAAAAGAAAAAACACUUUGAAGAAUGAAGAGCAAAUUCAAAAAUGUAAAUACUUUAUUUCUUUAAAAGAAGGAGUCAGCUCCAAAGCCUGAUUACAAGAAAAAACAGAAGAUACUACUUGAAAACUAUGUCCCUAAAACUGCGAAGGCGAUCUUCAAGCAAGCCUUCCAAAGCCUUCAAAGUCUCUACCUCGGUGGGAGACAAGAUGGGCAACUCCAUAGUCAUGCAUUUCUCUCGUUCUAAGCGUGAAAUCUCCUAUUGGCAUUGAGAAAGUGUAGUUCCCUGCUCCGCGAGAACACUUUUAAGUUAUGAUGCUUCGAUUACCAACUGCUCUCGCUCUUGCACCAAUGCAUCUAGACGCCCCUGGACAGAAGUUAAAGAAGUCUCUGUAACUUGAUAAUCUCCCGAAGCAGCUUGCUGAAAAGACUAGACUUGAGCCAGUGAUAAGUUUAUUGUUGCUAGCUGAUGAGCUCUAACAUUUGGGCUUAACUUCUCAAAGGAAAUAGCACGCAAGGAAGAAUACUCAGUCGAGGCGGCCAUAAGUUCGGCAAUCUUGAUCUUCAAGGAUGAAGAAUCAACGUUAAGGUUGUCAAUCACAGAAACAAGCUUCGACAAAUCCUCAUUGAGCAAUGUAAGGUCUUCUAACGGGCACUUAGAAAUCUUUUUCUCUAUAUGGCUCUUGAUAUCCAUUGCCGCACCAAGACUGAUGCAAUGGAUGACUUGCUCAGUACAGCUAAGGUUCGGCCCUCUCAAAGAGAUCUCAGAGUUAGCUGGCAAAUGUGUUGGACGUAUGAUGGGUUAUUGCAUACCUUCACCUACACAUGGCAAACUCGGGAAGUUCAGCAGAUUUGGAACAAGCUUUGCACCAGGCGGAUCCCUAAUCUCCCUGUCUGUAGGUAGGUCGCCUGCAAAUAGCAUCUCCGUAUAGGAAUAAACAUCUGCAGUUGCCAAAUCAAAAGGACAAGAAUGCCCAACCUAAAGAAGACGAAGAAAGAUGUUAUAAACGAAAACCAAAAUGAUGAAAGCAGAAGAAAUCAUGAGAGAGAAUGAAGUACAUACAUCUCUCUCAAAUGGCGUACGGUCAUCGAAUUGAGGAGGUCUAAACACUUCUUUCUUCUUAUGACGAAAAUUGACAUCGUUGUCAACCUGAGCAUCCUCAAGUGGUCGCUUGUUUGAAACUUGUUGAUGCUGCUGCAAAAUAAAUCCAUCUUCGUGCGAGUCAACUUCAUCUCCUGCCUCUUCAGAAGCAUCCGAAUGUCGAGGAGAUAAGCAUGGGCGUUGAGGAGCUAAAGCUACAGAUCUAUCUUGUUAGGGAGCUGCACUCGCGCAAUCAAGAUGCACCAGUCGCAUAGGAACCACAAGACAACCCUCUCUCGACAUAUCAUCGCUUGAGUGAGAAGAAUUGGUACCACUUGCCAUCCCCAAGUUUUUGUAAUGUGUCUUUGACCACCAACGUGCGUAAACACGGGUCACUGGAUUACUCUUGAACUCAUCAUUGGCUGGCAGCGUGAUAACAACAUUUGUGAAUGAACGGGUACAAGACUCCCAAUACAUGUACACGGCUUGCAGGGAUGCCGAUUGGUUUUUUUCCUUCAGCUUGCCUGGCACGCUUUGGACAAAACCGAAUUGCCUACUGAAACGGUGGGGACUAUAUGGCUGAACAAUGCAUCGGUCUUCUUGCCACAAAGAAAUAAACCCUGAUCGAAGACUUCUAUGAUAAGACAAGUCUGAAAAACAGAGAUGCGAAUUGUCCACUAUGCCUCGCUGCACCGAGCCAACUCUCGCUAAGGGGUCCAUCCUCAAAUCUUCACAACUUUUAAAUAGCGUUCGUGCCUGCAAAUCAUCAAGGCUCUUCGCGAAGAGCACACCAGAAUACUUCGUCAUCAAAGGCCCCAGUUUGGCUCCAGUCGAUGAAGAAGCCUUGACUUGUCUAGAGUCAACAAAGGAAAAUGAGUGCCAAAAUAUUCACCCAACUAACCAUACACAUAGUGGUAAGGAAGCACUGCAGCACGAUCUUCAGUGCUUGCCGAGUCCGAGACAAUGCUUAAGCCAUUGUAAAUGUUGGCUAAGAUCGAAAUAGCAAGGCUAAAAGACUCACCUGCAUCCAUCUUGCUAGCAACUUUGAAAACUCCAAGAUGAACUAAGUUGACGUCGCCUGCUGGGAAAACAAACUUACAAAGCCAACAAGCUAAUAAAGCAGCUAGGUAAGACUCCUCCACAUGCUCUGAUGCUAUGCCAAGAUCCUCAAAUGCUCUCAACUCGUUAGAAGAGCGGCGCCUGGUUGAGCCAAUAACACCGAACGGGUCUGAGUCUCCCUUUGGCCUAGUGGUCUUGUUACAACCACUUUUCUUCAAAGGCUUCUUAUACCUCAUGGCCUUCCAGUACCAAAAUCGGAUCCACGAGGAAAUCCUCACGCCUGAUUUACCUUGAGCAUCCUGGAAAAGCUUGUGAUACGCCCAAAACAAACAGCGGCAACUCGCAGGCAAUCCUCGGCUAUUGCAAAGAGAAAGUUCCUCCGCGCUAGGAACGACCUUGUCGUAAAACCUACCUUGGAUCGACAAGCCUCCUAUCCUGUGAAGAUCCCAAAGUGAAAUUGACAUCUCCCUUUGCACUGUGUGAAGUGUGUUGGUCACUGAACACCAAUGCUCAAAGAACGCACGAAUGAUGGAAUGAUGGCAAUCAUAACUAAACAAAGAUGAGUACACAGCGUGGUAAAGGCCCACGUUAGUAAGCACAUCUUUAGUCGGCUUAAGAAAUCUUCAAGCACUUCCAAUAAAACUCAUAAAAAACGGCAUCUCCAAUAGUCGAGAGGAUACCAUUCCAAGUCAUAGCUCCGUUGCGGAUGUGAUCACCAAGAAGCUUAAAUGUGGCCGAAUGAUUGUCACCAGCAUGGUGCGAAGGAUUCAAGAUAAGAAUCCUCGAGAUGCACGCCUUCUUCUUCGUAUCUGGUUGAACAGAAUCUACCACCUCCCAAGAUACUUCGAAAGACCACGACUUGAUAUGCAUGGAGUUAUCUUUUACGGGAAGGGCAAGCGCCUUAGGACCAGUCAGUGGUUUGUAAAACUUCAACGUCGUUCCUCUAUCUUGCGAAUCGUCUGCCUUCGCAAGAAUGGUGAUGGUGCUGCUCUUAAAUCACUUAAAAAUACCAUGACCUCGGAAAAAAAUCAGCCAUAAAACUUAAGCAGCACGGCAAAGAGGGCAGCUACAAGACAGUCUAUCCAAGCGGCGGCAAGAAGCACAUCAACGUUACCACCGAGGAAAGUUGUGACCAAAAGGCAUUACACAACAUAAACUUGCUGCAGUCUCUUGCACCGCUCCACACGGUAGCGCACCACCGAGGGAAAAAGACUGUGAACAAAAGGCAUUACACAACGAAGUCCCUCCACGGUCUCUUGCACAACACCACACGGUAACGCACCACCGAGGGAAAACUGUGAUAAAAAGGCACUAUGCAACGAAACCCCGUUGCAGUCUUUUACACAACACCAUGCAAUAAGUGACACACUCCAACAAACCCCAGGCAACAAAAAUGCAGCAGCUAUGCAAUGGUUGUGCAGUGACGACACAAUCCUCCAGCACUACAAAAAAAAAAUCAAUCAGAGGGGUACACAUAUUAUAUAUAAAUAAACAUUAUAUAUAUAUAUAUAUAUGUAUAUGUAUAUAUAUGAACAUGGUGAUGGUGCCGUGCACCUAUAUAUAUAUUAUUUUAUAUACAUGAACAUGGUGAUAGUGCCGUGCAAAUAUAUAUACGCGAAUAGGCCUCACAGGGUAAAGGCUUCACAAGAGGCAGCGAGAAUGCAGUGGCUGCGCAAUUGGCUGUGAAAUGGUUGUGCAGUUGUGGUGUCCAGAGAAGCAAGUGAACAUGCACAAAUAUGAAGCAACAAGCUUCGGUGCAAAUAGACACAACUACACUUGAUAGGUUAAAAAUCUCAAACUGAUGGGAAUGGAAUAAGGAUCGAAUACCUAUCUAAAAGCCUUACAGGAAGGCUUACUUAUACACACCAGAAAUUGAAAAAAAAAAAAAAUUAAUCAACAUUACAAAGCACAUGCAAUGAAUGAUGAUGCUCACACAUGCAGCAGCCUGCGCAGAAAUCUUUUGUUAAAGCUGGGAAAAGCUUUAACAACCUGCAAGCAGCAUAUUUGGGGGAAAACAAGGACAUGCGGCUUUAGUUGUGUUUUUUAGAUUGAAUGAUUUCAUUGCUGAGUUCACUGCCACCCUCCUCCUCUUUGUUCACCAACCCAUGAGCAAGAUCAGGAAAGCUGCGUCCUCUCUUUCACCGAGCCCCACCCAAAGCCUUUUAUGCCCAGAGUUCAAGAGAUAAAAAAAUGGAGAUUGGGAAGUCUGCUAAGGAAAGCUAUGGUGCUAUAUAUAUUAAAAAAAUAAAAAAUAAGGGUGCACGGCAACAUGUGACAGAAAUAUAUAUAUAAAUUGAUUUGCAUGAAUGGUGCACGGCACCAUGUGAUAGAAAAAAAAAUGGUGGUACAGCUUCAAAAGGAAAAGAAAUAAUAUAUAAAACAAUGGUGCUUAAAAAAAAAGAAAAAAAAAAGGUGUUGAUGUCCACUCACUCUGACAUGAUUGUUGUCUGCACUUACUAAUAUAUAUACAUAUGUUGAUAAAGAUAUCAUGAAUGGUGCACGGCACCAUAUGACAAAAGAAUAUAUAUAUAUAUAUAUAUAUAUAUAUAUAUAUAUAUAUAUAUAUAUAUAUAUAUAUAUAUAUAUAUAACAAUGGUGCUAAAAAAAAAAUGGUGCUCAGGCACCAACAAAAAAAAUAUGUAUAUAUAGACACUAAAUGAAAUAAAGCUCAUUUAUUAAUAUCUCCUAUAAGUUACAAAUAUGUACAUAUACAUGAAUCAAAAUAAACAUACAAGAGGGAGCCUUCACAAAGGCUGUUUAGGAGAAGUCUCAGUAGUCAGCGGAGCUUUAGCAGUCGGCGGAGCCCCAGAAGGAGGAGGCAUCGGAGGUUGAUCAUUUGGAGUUUCAUUACGCGGUACAGCCCCAGAAGACAAAGGCAAAUGCUGUUGGAACAAACCCAUAAACCUCUGAUGAUCAAGUAAAAUCUGAUCAUCAGAUUCCUGCAUCUGGUCAAUCUUCCUCUUCAUGUUUGUAGCAUAGUUAUAUGCGAGCCUGUGCAACUGUUUAUUAUCAUGUUUGAGCCCUCUAAUCUCCUGUUUGAGACUCAUCACUUCAGCCGCCAAUGAUUCAACUUGACGGGUUCGAGCAAAUAGGCGUUGAGCCAUAUUAGACACAUAACCUGCACACUACACACUGAGAGCCAGAGAAUCCUUAACAGCCAACUCAUCAGACCGUUUGGAAAACAGUCUAUUAUCUUUGGGAGUGACAAGGUUCCAGGCCACCACCGUAGCGGUCAUAUCAUUCUUCAUCACCGAAUCCUCAACGGUAAGAGGACUAGUAUGGGAUAUGAAGGAUGGACGUCAUAUGUUGUCUAGAGAAGGCAUGGCUGCCUCUUCACCAAGGUUCAAGUCAAAACGACGGUCGGAAGGGCCAUACAUUUUCAAAGGUGUUGAAGAAAGAAGAGGUCGGACAAGUCAAGAUCGUAGAAGUGCAAGAAGGGAGUUUCUACAGGCAGAAAUUCAAGUGUGCUUUGAAACGUACUGCGUGUCUCUAUAAAAAUCAGCACCCGACGGGAUUUCAGAGAUCAAAUAGGCAAGCUCAGAAAUCGAAGAGGCCAAUUCAAAAAUCGAAGAGGCGCUAGCUUUCUCAAAAGCUGGGCUUACUCAGCAAUCACGGGCCAAUCUUCUUUUCCAGAUUUGUCCGCACUUGUCACAUGCAACCUCUGCACUCGACGGAGCUCAGAACUCGAAGAGGCAAGAUCAGAAAUCGGAGAGGCAUCAGCUUUUCCAGACGUGUCAGCAUCUGUCACAUGCACAAUCAGCUUUGCGGAAAUCACGGGCAAUUUGUCGAAGCGCCGAUUCCAGAUAUCGAAGAGGCACUUGCUUUUCCAAACGUGUCAGCGCUUGUCACAUGCACACUCAGCCUUGCAGAAAUUUCAGGCAAUCUAUCGAAGAUUUCUUGUGAAGUAGAAAGCACGUGAAGUUUACUGUUAAAUCAUCCAACGGUUGCCGACAAGAGUAAAGGAAUAGUGCCGCUACUGGCUGUUGAAAAAAAAGUCCUAUAUAUGUUGACCUUCAUCCUCCAUAGCAAGGCAGACCUGCAAAAAUGCCCAACCAUUCCUCACCUCCGAAAGUACACUCCCAGCAUAGCCUCUUGAAAUACUCAGUUUUCUUCCUCUCCGGGAAUACCUCUGCAAACAAAUGACACCAAAAGCGAAAGUAUCUCAUAUCAUCAGGGUAGAAAGCAAGAGUAUCUUAUAUCAUGCAAUCUCAUUAUCCUUUUCUUUGUCCUUGUUCUUACCUGCAAAGACAAGGAUGAAGAAAGCAAUAUGUUGGAACCUCCACUCAAACUCCCAGUCAGGAACCGACUGCUUGGAACCCUUCCCUAAUUGCUUACCUAGCACUGCUCUAGAAGCAUCCAUUGUUUCAACAUCUUAUGCUUCCAGAGAAGAUACCACAUCUGCUCGAAGAACAGAUAAGGCAAGGGAAAUGGUACAUUGAAGCAUGUGGAGACAAGCACAACAAGCAUGUGCCGAUUCAUCCGCUACUUCUUCAAAAUCAAAAGUAUCUCAUCUCAUCAGGGUUGCAAUCACUCUGGGUUUGAUGGACUUGUUUCGACCCUCAAAUUCUUGGGUCGACUCGCUAGGCGUUGUGAGCUGCAAGUGCCGAUUCACCACCUUUGAAUCAAAUCCAGUUCAAGAAUAAGCUAUGGAAAGUAAACAAUUGGAGGAAUCCAGAAAAUCCUCUAACACAGUUCAAGAUCAAAGCUGUGGAAAGUCAACAUGCACAACAAAAUACGCGCCGAUUCAUACACUACCAAAGCCAAAGAUCAUUUACCACGUGAAGCUCCUUGUGAUCCAAUUUCAACCUUCAAGAUCAAGCCUCGACGACCCUUGAAGAAAUUUCAAACAAACUGCAAGAACAAGCCUCAACGGCCCUUGAAGAAAUUUCAAACAAAGUUCAAGAACAAGCGUCAACGGCCCUUGAAGAAAUCUCCAGCCCGAUUGAAGAUCAACCCUCGAUGGCCCUUAGAUCGACAUCUACAUUAAGGGACUUCAAAACAUGUCUUCUACAUGUGACAAGCACAUGUAUACGACACGCCUUAAAGUGGGGGCAUUUGUAGACAUCGAAAUUUCGGUGAAAUAAAUGUUGAUCAAUAAUUAAAAUUUCAACGUGCACGUGUCAUAUAACUUUUACACAUAGCAUGUGACUCAACAAAAAAUCGAGAAUCAUCAUAAAAGUCAUCAAACAUGACACGUGUCAACACUUGGCAGAAAUGGUUUAUUUCAUCUGAUUAUUUAAAUCCAAAAAUCAAGUUUUGGAAUUCUAUAAAUAGGAGGCCAAGGCAUUCAUUUUUAGGGACCAAUUCAUAACCAAUUCACCUUACACCAAAACCUUAAAGCUUUGAAACUCCAAAGCUCCCAAGCAAAUCCCGAAGGAUCAAGAAAGCUCUCUUCGUUCUUCGUCAACCCAACCUUCAAGAUCAAACCCCAACGGCCCUUUGAAGGAACUUGUCAACACUUGGCAGAAAUGGUUUAUUUCAUCUGAUUAUUUAAAUCCAAAAAUCAAGUUUUGGAAUUCUAUAAAUAGGAGGCCAAGGCAUUCAUUUUUAGGGACCAAUUCAUAACCAAUUCACCUUACACCAAAACCUUGAAGCUUUAAAACUCCAAAGCUCCCAAGCAAAUCCCGAAGGAUCAAGAAAGCUCUCUUCGUUCUUCGUCAACCCAACCUUCAAGAUUAAGCCCCAACGGCCCUUGAAGAAAACUUUCAACCAUUCAUCCAAGAUCAAGCCUCGACGGCCAUUGGAUCUAUCACACAUCCACAAAUCAACACCUUACGGAGAUCGAAUCAGAGGAUCAAAUUUGAGAGAUAAUGUAACCCCUAAAUCAUUAAUACAAAAUAUUAUUUUGUACACGUGUUCUUGUCUCGUUUGUUUCAGGAAUUUUCGUGUUCACAAUAAUAUUUAGGGAUUUAAGGGUUGGAGAGGAUGUGGUGGAGGUGUGCGUGGUGGCCAUUUUCGGCUAGUGAAAUGACAGAGAAAGGAGAUAGAAAUGGCGGAGAGAGUUGAAAAAUGAGUCACAGUUGGGGUUGUAGAGGGGGGGACCUCUUUCUUUCUGCUUGCGUAUGGUGCUUGCCAACCCUAUGGAAACUUUUGGGAGCACGUGACUCGCACCUGGGUGGUCACUCUUUUUGUCAACUAUAUCUAUAUGGAGUGUACAAGGACACAAUUUUUGUUUUGUUAGUGCAAUGAUGGGACCCUUAAUCAGAGUCCUAAAAGUUAAACUCCAACAACCUCAAUUAAAUUUCAUAAAACUGUUAGUUUGUCCAUGUGUUUCUAGCACUCGGGUGGCCCCUUGUUCUCUUGGUCGAGUCGAGCGCUCAAGACUUGUGCUAGUUUUAUAAAAGUUUUGAUUGAGUUAUGUAUAAUUUAUCAAUUUUAAUGAGAUGUUUUACUUUAUUACUAGUCAUUAGAAAGAAGUUUUCUUUUUCACAUAUCACAUAAUUAUUUGUUUACAUAGUAUUUAAUCAUCAAUUCUUUAAUUCAUACAUGUAUUAUGGUUUCACAUGACAUUCUAUAAAAUUUCAUUUUAAAUUUUCACGUUUUUGAGCAAAUUUUCAUCAUUUUUGUCGAAGACAACCGAUACCGAGUGAAAUAUAUUUAUUGAUAUUUUCAUAAACGUACAUAUUGAUAUUUCCAUAAAUUUGCAUAUGAAUAUUUCCAUCAAUAUUCAUACUUUAAACACUAUGAUUGGUUGAUUAUGAUCAUGAAUCCAUGUUGAAAAUCAUGAAAUUUUGAUGCUAUCCAAACCAUUCAAAUAUAUGUUAUUUGAAAUCAUUUAUGUGUUCUUUUUUAAAUGGAGGGUGGAAAUCAUCAUGUUGGAAAUUUUAAUAUUAUUGUUAUAUUAAAUUUAUUAAUUGAAUGGAAAUUAAAAAUGAUUUCUUUUGGUGGAAAUAUGUGUUUUUUUUUUUUUUUUGAAGAAAGGUGGAAAUAUGUGUUUGUCUUAACUCUUAAUAAAGAUUUGCAAUUUUUUGCUUUUCAUGAAAGGUCACAUGUUUUUUCAAAGAGUUAUCUCAAAUUCUAUAAAUAGGAAGCCCCUUAUAAUCAUUUAAUCAUAUAUUCAAACAUAUAAUGCACUAUUGUUAGAGAGUUUUGUAGUGUCCCAUUGAGUCCAUAUAAAAGAGUAUUAAAAAUAAUCGUGGUUCAUUGGAGCUUUGUGAUUUGGAGUGCUGCAACUAUUACAAGCAAGGUAUAAAAUAUCGAUGAUAUUGGAUAUAUCGGUAGUCCAAAAAUACAGAAAUUUCGAUGGAAAUAUCAGGAUAUUACCGAUAUCGAUAAAAAUUGAAUAAAACCCACGGAAAUUGUAAGAAAAACUUGGAAAUUUUUAUUGAAACUUUGCAGGAUGUUUAUUUAGUUAAUUAUCUAUUAGUUUAUCACAAAAAAAAAAAUUUGGAAGGAAAUGCAUUGCAUGAUGGAUUUAACUGAUUUAAGUUGAUUAUAUGGCGAGCUGGCAAACAUUGUGAGUGUAGAAAAUAUGUAGUAAUUAAUGAAAGAAGUUUAAACACACCAUAAUCAUUUAUAUAUAAGGAAUUAGUACAAUAUUUUACACUUUAUACAUUGCAUGGUAAGAUACAUGAGUGACUUAGUACCACAUAGAGUUCCUAUCAAGGUCUAAAAUAUCAAUGAUAUCGGAAAUAUCGGUAGUCCAAAAAACACGAAAAUUUCGAUGGAAAUAUCGGGAUAGUAUCGAUAUUUUAGACCUUGAUUACAAGAACGUGGUCGUUGUAUCCUAUAAGACAAGCGCCGAUCAACCAUAAACAUCAUAGUAGGGCGUAAACUUGUCGUAAGGAUAGAAUGUCCAACAUUUGCCUCAACCAUAUAUUCGGGUUUUUCUAAUCUAUUAUGUCAUGUUCAUUUAACAAUGGUUACUCAUGUACACAUUACUUUGAUAUAUAAUUGCACAAAUUAUUUCUUAAUUUUCUACAUGAUUUAAUAUAGCAAUUAGACGCUAAAAUUUUCCAACGGAUCACAAUGUGGCUAACACUCUUUUCUCACUUUCUUCUUUUGGAAAUGGUUUUUGUAUGCAAGAGUUUGCAACAAGCGUGUGUCUUUGAUUUGAAUCAAGGUCACUUUAUAACUCUUAAGGCCAACAGAGGAAAAGUAGAGAUUUGAGGCAUCUAACUUUGAAACAUUAAAACGGAGGGAGAAUGGGAUAAUUGUAUACAUAGAAAAAACAUAGGUGUAAACGUCUACAAUGUAUAAAUGUUUUAACUUUGAACAUAUAAAAUGUCAAUUAUUAGGUAAUCUCCAACCGAACGGGCUAUGUUUAGCCCCUGUCCAAAUUAUAGCCGUGUAAGAAAUUAUUUUUUAAUAAACAGUGAUAGACCAUAUUUAUAUACCAUCUUCAACCGAAAUUGACUAUUUUUAGCCCCCUCAAUAAUUUAUUAUUUUAAGUUUGUUCUUUAAUUUUAUUGGUUAAUUGAAUUAAAUUGUCAUACUAAAAUAAGGUUUCUAGACAUAUUUUGAAUGCCACUUGUCACUAAAUGAAUAGACCUUCGGGUUUUUAUCUUUAUAUAAUCUUAAUCAUUUUUCGGAUAGAAUUUUGAGUGACACGUGUCGUUAAAGUGAGCAACUCUCCAUAUUAUGGAAGGGUGACAAUAAUGUGAGAAAUGGUUUAUGUAUUUAUAAAAAAAAUAAAAAAAAAUACAAAAAAAAAUUAGAUUUUUAAUAUUUUUUUUAAAUUUCAUCCUUUUAAAAAAAAUUCAAAUCCAACAACUACAUGACGUUAUGUAGACAAUGGCUACUGUAGGUUGGGCCCCAUUAGCAGGCUGUCUGGCUGGCUUCAAUUCCCCAGCUCGAUGGUCAUGGGCUGGAGUUUGGCCCAGUAUGCCCCUUUUUUCCUUUGGCCUGGACCUCUAUUGGAGAUGGUUUUUUACUCAUUGUGGGCUAUAAAAAAGCCCAUAACCCUAUAACCUAAUCCAUUGAAGAUGGUCUUAUAUAUUGUGUUAGGUAUGUGGUCUGUUGGAAUAUUACUGAACUAAAUUGUUGAUUAACGUGCUUAUUUUUAUUAGUGACACAUCACAUGAUUUACAAAUUUAGUCUACCUAGCAGGAAAGAUGUGGGUUAAGUAAUAUUUAACUCGUGAUCUGAGAUCUAUUAUUUAUGAGUGAAAUAUAAUACUAUUAAACUGUAUAUAGUCAUCCCGUGACCUUUUCUUUUAAUUCAAACAAAAAUAAAUAAAUAAAUAAAAGAACAUUGGUAAUUUGGUAGGAACCUAAAACCUUGUUUCUUCAAUGAUUUCUUGCAUUGAUCAAGAUACUACUAAACUGUAUGUAGUCGUCUCGUGACUUUUUCUUUUAAUUCUGUAAACCCUAAAAAUUACCAAGUCUACGUGGCGUGUAGGCCGAGUAACUAAUAAGCUAAUUAUGUCCUUCGGUUAUGUGGGGCGUGCUAACUCGACGACCGAGCUCGACCAGGGAGUAAAAUGUGUUGAUGUUGCGUUGAGCACGUUGCUAACUUCUUGAUCCUGCGAUUGCAGCCCGAGGAAGGAACAAGUCUCGGCCUUUGGGUUCUUGAGCCUGAAGACAAGGCUGCUAGUUAUGUGAAGUUCACAAAUCGUCGGCACUAGGUUCGGUCACAGUGAUUAUAUUCGUAAGAGUGUAAGCACGUCAAACUGACACCAGGCUAUAUGGACACAAGUAUUCGAAAGAGAUGUAUGUCUUUAUAGUAAAUGUGGUUCGGCCGUCGGAAUGUCAAACUCUGAAACUCAUUUGCAAAUUCCAAUCAUAAAACAACUCGACGCUCAAUGUGCCGAGCCUAGUAACCUAUAACACCUCACUCCGCCGAGAAGGCUGAUGAGAUGACCUCUACCAACAAGAACUCGAAAGUCCCUGUCGACCGAAACUUGGAUAAAUAACUAGUCGGUCUCGAAGUAGUGCUGUUUAUCCAAACUGAAUGUCCUCAUUGAUCGGCUGAUUCUACGACUUCAGUGUUGUUUAUCCAAACUAAAGAUGUCGCCGGUUGUCUUCACAAUGUUGUUUAUCCUAAUCGAAGAUAUCGCCGGUUACCUUCACAGUGCUGUGUGUUGGCGGAAGAAAAGGGAGAAGGAUAAAAUCUCAAGUUGUUGAGAAGCUUUGCGCAUGGCAAUUUGUGUAUUGAAUUGAAGAGAGCCUUGAACAAUGCACUCCCUCUUCUAUUUAUAUAUAGUAACAAACCCCUUUAUGGCCGAGCUAGAAUCGUACUCGGAUUAGAACUCUUCAACCCAAUCUGAUUAGGUUUUGGCCAGUCCUAGCUCCAAUAGGAAUUUGAACCAAACUCCAUAACAAACCAAAUUAAUCUCUUGAUCCUAAGCACCUUCAGCUUCAAAACUCCUUGUUCCACUAAGAAUCGACUACUUCACCGUUUAUCUAAACUAAUCCUCUUUGCAACAAGAUUCAGUCGACCCUAACUGGACAACCCACAGGAAAAUUCUAAAUAAAUGCCAUUGGGCAAGAAUAAUCCCAGGCUCGCCCCAAAAUAAUAUUUUGAGCUCAAACAAAUUAUGAAGUUUCUGGAGCUAGAGGGCAAAUAUGACAUAUUCUCGAAUGGACUUGUUGAAAGGUAGUUGAAAGAAUGUGAUUUUGCACUUUGAGAACAUUAACGAAAAACUCCCGGUACUAUUUACUUUAACAAAAAACUAUAUUUUUACCCUAAAAAAUCAAUCAUGAUACUAUUCAAUUUACCUUUUAUUUUGUUCUUAUCAUGAAAACUCAAAAUUUUCAAAUCCUUUUCCAUUAAUUUUCCUAUUUUUCUAUCCUUUAUAGUUUGAAUAAAUAUAAAACCCACCCAAACUUCACAUUCAUUCAUUCAUUCACAAUUCAUUGCAUAAGAAAACCUUUGCAACACAUUGAACAAACGAUUUUCUCAUUCUUCAUUGAGGUUACACGAAAAACCGAACAAGAAGUCCAAAUCUGAUCAACGACUUCAUGAUUUUCAAUAACCACACUCCUAUUGUAAGGGUGCGUUUGUUGCACCGGACUAUCUCGGAAUGACCACACUUCUAUUAUAAUAAAAGUUCACUGCCAUGAGGCGUCCCAAUCAAAUAAUGCAAUGUUAUGAAGUGAGAAACUUACACAGAGCGCCAAAAUGAUGGUAAAGGAGAGCAACACACUCCCGGCUGAAUUACCGGGAAAUGGUAAGGUCAGUUGCAAGCAACAGAAAAUUUAGGUUUUUGCCAUGAAACAAAAACUUCUACAAUUCAACACAAUGGAGCCGAAAUUUCAAUUAUACAGAUAGUUUCACUUCUUUUUUUGUUUUUGGGAAAAAAAAAGUUGCACUAAUAGUGAUACACUAAUGGCUCUUUUGCCACUGUAGAAGUAAAUUUUCAGCUUCAUACUUCCAUACGGCAUAAAAGAAGGCAGAGGUGAAUAAUCAAAACUUGCAGUCAAGAGAAAGCCAAGCAGCACAGGAUGAUCCAGAAGGAGUUCUCAGAAGUUACAGGUAAAGCUUCUGCAAUCGUUCAGCCCUUACCCUGCGAGAGAGAAAAGUAUGCAGUUAUACAUCGUUGGUUUCAGAGAAAACGCAGUUGAUAAACUUGGAUAAACUCCAAGGUCACCAAUCGAUGAAUUAACUUACAGAUUUCCCCAUAACAACUAAUUCAC
rnacentral:lncRNA from 1 species